UUUUUUUUUCUUUCUGAAAAUGGCUAGCCUAGUUUUUUGGUGAUUUGCCAACUAAGUCGCUUUGUCAGGCCUAUUGGGCUGCAAAUCUUACAAGACGAGGAGAGCUUCAUUCGGCUGGCCGAGAAAAUGGUCUAUUAAUAAUGAGAAAUAGGCUGUACAUUUUUAAAACACAUCAAACCGGCAAUUAGUUUCAAAUUUCUUUUUUUUCAUUUCGAGAAUUAAAUUGCAUUGAUUUUUAUGUGUGGACAAUUUAUUGGAUUUUAUAUUGAUAUACAUUUAUUUUUAAAAUCAGUUUGAAUGUGACUCGAAAUUUCAGGAUUACAAAUAGUUUGGACCGCACCGAAAUAUGCAAAAUUUCGUAUAAUUUUUUAACCAUGGCCACAAUAUAGGCUGUAAUGCUAACAAAAAGAAUAUGGGCUAAGUCCCCGAUCUAGCCGAGAUGACGGAGCGGGUCAGUAAGAAGACGUUGCAGCUAUCAUGUUAGCCGAGGUAUUAAAGCAGUUCGGCGUGAUGGACAUCGGCUUGAAAAAGCAACAGUGCGGCCAUGCCGACGUUGGUCAUAACUUGUGAUGCGGUCAAUGCCAGAUUGAUGAAGUGACCGAGAGGCGAUGUCGGUGCGCCUGACACGUGCAAUCCGUGGGGUGAUGAUGUUGGUGAUGAUUUAUCCUUCGCGAUGUCGAACUCUUGUUCGGCUAGCCGAGCUGAUGAUCCGAUAAGGUUAGGCUCGUCUCGAUGAAGCGAUGAUCUGUCUUGCGCAGGUCGGCAGACGUGGAGCAAUGUUACCAGACUGGUGUGACACUAGUGCGAUGGUGAAGAGUGCCUCAAAGAAGGCUUAAAAUUUAAUGAGCACGUGCUAAAAACAACGCACAAUACCAUAGAAGAAAAUUCCUUUCAAAAUGUUGUCCAAUAUCACAUUCAUAAAGAAACAUGAAUUCUGGUCGGAUCUGUAUUUGCGCAGAAAACAGGUCCGAAAAGUGAUGCACUAAUCGGAAGGUUCCCGGAGUUUGGACGGUCCGAUCGAGCUGAAAUUUUGAAGGGUGGUAGAUAUAGGAAUUCUGCAGCCGGUCAACGGUUGGAUCUUCCAAAGGACAUCCGAGCUAGGUUCUGGAGACCACGCCCUAGACUCGUCCAGAUUCCCGUCCAGAUUUGACACGGCUUUGGUAUAUCGUUGAUUGCCAGAGAUUCCUCCAUCGGAACUCGACGAAAUUUUGCAUGAUUGUUGUAGAGUCAAUUCCGCACAAUUCCACCAAAAGAAUCAUCAAAGCGAUGCUUUAGGAGGUGGUGGCAGCGGAUACAAGUUCGCUGUUCGAAAAAAUAGCAUGGUCGCCUGAGGGAAAUGUUAACGUUGAGCCCCCGAGCUCCAUGGAUGAUUCCUCCAUGAUCUUGAUAGAGGUCGGAGUUGAUGUUGAUGAAGGCCACCAUCCGAACAUGACGAUCGGAGAUGGAGCACGGUCCUCGAUCGAGUCAAGGUGACCAGUCGAGCCAGCGAUGAAGAUGCUGGCAUCGCAGUUAAUCUGCGGGCGAGCCAUUGAUCCUUUGUCGAUCACACAAUGGAACUCUCAAUGAAAGCACCAUUGUCAGUGUCAAAACUGGCAGAUCUCGGGUAGGGGGUCCCGAACUGUGCGUCUAAGGAUCGAUGGUAAUAGAAGACAGGGGACACGAUGUUUACCCAGGUUCGGGCCCUCUUGAUGGAGGUAAUACCCUACUUCCUGCUUGAUUGACUUUGAUGAGUAUAGGGGUUACAAGAGUUGAUCUACCUCGAGAUCGUAUAUUGUGGUCUAAACCCUACAGGAAUGACGAAUAAUAUCAUAAUAAUCUACCGACUAGCCUGGCCUCGUCUUAUAUAAUGUACCAGAGGCCUAGGAUAACAAGACUCCUAGUCGAAUACGCCGGUGGAGAGGAGUCCUUGUCUUGAUCACCAAGUCUUGUGGAAUCUUCCUCGUGUAUACAUUGGCUGACCGAACUGGGCCAUGAGCAUAUGGCCAUGGGGGUCCUCGGCCCAAUCCAACUGAUUGGGAGAUGACGUGGUGAGUACCCCCUAGUCCAGGAUACCGUCAAUAGCCCCUGCACCGUCAACCUAUGGAGCUCAGCCCACUCGGCCAUUUGCUCAUUUAACAGUAGCGGACGCGUUGGAGCACUGAACUGCGACCAGAACAACUUCUCCACUUCCUGAUCUUUUUGAUCUUUAAAAAAUGCAGUCGCAUCAGAAGCACUCAUUGCCAAGUCCGAAUACGUGUCUGCAGCACUCCAUAAUUGAUCCAGAGGGGCAUACUUCGGAUCUCCGAACUUCGUUCGCAACAAAAAGGGCUUCCCAGCCGUAAUAUCUCCGGCUUGACGAAGCUCCUCCUUCGCUGCUCUGAUUUUAGAGCGGGUCUCCUUGGCUGCUACCAUGGCCUUAUCUAGGUCCACCACUUUCGCUUGGCUUUCCUUUUCAAGAAGCUCAUACCGGUUGGUGGCAUCCUUCAGCUCAACAGCCAUCUUGGCUAUUUUAUCUUCGCUCUGGCGAUGAGUAGCCCGUUCGGCUCUUAACUCUUCGGCCGCCUUUAGGGCGGCCGCAUCACUUCUCCUGGCUUGUUCCUUGGCUCGGGCAAGCUCGGCCCGAAGGGUCUCCACGGCGGUAGCUUCACCUGCAGUCACAACAUGUUAUAGAUACUAGCAUCAUGCUCCUCUUAAUAUCUGUUGACCACCGGAGAAUACAUACCCUGUGCCUGAAAGCACAAGUGCUCCCUAGGUGGUUUUGGUAAUUAAAGUCAACAUAUCUCUUGUUGGACUAACAUUUUUAUCUAGUAUAUUUCAGAUAAGUUCAACAGUGAAGUGGCAUGGACUAAAGGAUGUGAAACCCCUUCAAAAUGCUAAGGACAAAGGAUUGGCUCAAGCUCAAAGCUCAACACUCUACAUUUUCUUUUUAGUGAUCCAAGAUCACAUUGAGUCUAUAGGAAAAGCCAAUACUAUCAAGGAGGGAUGAGGUGUUGCUUAAUGAGGUUCUAGCUCAAAAUGCUUAGUGAUAUGCUCCAAAACCCUCAACUACUUUCUCACAUCCACAUAUGACCUAAACCAAAAGUCAAACUCGGACCAACCGAUUCUUCCUAUCCGGCGCCACCGAGUUUCAAAUGUCAUAGCCACUGCCACAAACCCUAGGCAAAUCGGUCUCACCGACAGGGAUCUCGGUCUCACCGAGAUGGGAUUGCAAACUCUCUGUUGCCUAUUUCAAUACUUUCGGUCUCACCGAGUUUGUGUAAUCGGUCUCACCGAGAUUACGUUAUGCCCUAACCCUAAUCAUAUCGGUCCUACCGAGUUGCAUGUCGGUCCCACCAAAAACCCUAACGGUCACUAGCUUUGCUAAAUCGGUCCGACCGAGUUUAACCAUUCGGUCCCACUGAGUUUGGGAAGUUAUGUGUAACAGUUAGAUUUUGUGUGGAGGCUAUAAAUACCCCUCCACCUCCUCUUCAUUUGUGGAGAGAUCCAUCAGAACAAACCUACACUUCCAACCUAUAUUUUCUGAGAGAGAACCACCUACACAUGUGUUGAGACCAAGAUAUUCCAUUCCUACCAUAUGAAUCUUGAUCUCUAGCCUUCCCCAAGUUGCUUUCCACUCAAAUCUUCUUUCCACCAAAUCCAAAUCCUAUGAGAGAGAGUUGAGUGUUGGGGAGACUAUCAUUUGAAGCACAAGAGCAAGGAGUUCAUCAUCAACACACCAUUUGUUACUUCUUGGAGAGUGGUGUCUCCUAGAUUGGCUAGGUGUCACUUGGGAGCCUCCGACAAGAUUGUGGAGUUGAACCAAGGAGUUUGUAAGGGCAAGGAGAUCGCCUACUUCAUGAAGAUCUACCGCUAGUGAGGCAAGUCCUUCGUGGGUGAUGGCCAUGGUGGGAUAGACAAGGUUGCUUCUUCGUGGACCCUUCGUGGGUGGAGCCCUCCGUGGACUCGCGCAACCGUUACCCUUCGUGGGUUGAAGUCUCCAUGAACGUGGAUGUACGAUAGCACCACCUAUCGGAACCACGUCUCAAAAAUCUCCGUGUCUCCAAUUGCGUUUGAAUCUUCCAAACCCUUCCCUUUACAUUCUUGCAAGUUGCAUGCUUCACUUUCCGCUGCUCAUAUACUCUUUGCAUGCUUGCUUGAUAUGUAUUGUGUGUGUUAAACUUGCGCCAAAACUCCACUUCAACCUAAAGAAUUUAAAAACUGCAACUUUUGGUACUUAGUGUCUNNNNNNNNNNNNNNNNNNNNNNNNNNNNNNNNNNNNNNNNNNNNNNNNNNNNNNNNNNNNNNNNNNNNNNNNNNNNNNNNNNNNNNNNNNNNNNNNNNNNNNNNNNNNNNNNNNNNNNNNNNNNNNNNNNNNNNNNNNNNNNNNNNNNNNNNNNNNNNNNNNNNNNNNNNNNNNNNNNNNNNNNNNNNNNNNNNNNNNNNNNNNNNNNNNNNNNNNNNNNNNNNNNNNNNNNNNNNNNNNNNNNNNNNNNNNNNNNNNNNNNNNNNNNNNNNNNNNNNNNNNNNNNNNNNNNNNNNNNNNNNNNNNNNNNNNNNNNNNNNNNNNGUCCUUUUAGUGCCUUGUCAAGCCGCUUGUUCACAAGCACGAUGCCGGCAUCUGCCGUAUCAAGCUGCCGCCUCAGUUCAGCAAAAUCACCAGUCCGGCCAGCCACCGGACACUCAGCCGCCUGCACAUGUGAGCAGCAUGAUCAUUACCUGGGACUAUGAUCCUUUGUUUGCCGCCUCUGGACAGCAACCAGAGUCUCAGGGGCUACUAUCUGUAUAGAGCACACCUAGCGUGUGCGGUACCGUCAAAAAAAUUUAUAUAUUACUUUGCGUACCUCAAAGCCUCUUAGCAGGCUCAUAAAAGCUUCAUGCAACCCACUUUUGGCGGAUGAGAUCCUCUCAACCACCGUACCCAUUAAAGUACGAUGCUCUUUCGAGAUAGCCGCUUGCUCCAGAAGACCCAUCAGCACGUCUGGUUGUGCACAGGACAAUCCUAGACUCUUUUCGCUGAUCUCCUUAGGAGCCGAAUACUCCGGACUUCGGGUGGCCGAAGGGUUACCUUCUGGCCCUGGUGGAUCAGGAGAAAUCCUCCGUGAUGACACCUUAGGGUCGUCCGCCCCAGGAGACUGGGAGGCAGGGGAGGCGUUUUGCUCUCCAUCAUCUCUGGAAGAAGAUCCCCCGAAGACGAACUCUGUCGAGAAGGGCUACGAUCCAGACUGCAAGACAUAUGUCUCGGUUAUUUUCCUCGAAGAUAAAGCAUGAUAUAUUUAUCAAAGGUAUUUUGGUUCACUUAUAGCUCAGUGGAGGGCUGAUCCCCUUGUGGGCACUGUGCGGCAAGGAUGCCCUCCGGGGCAGGGCCCCUGGCGAAAGAUUCUUCCCUCGUUUGGAAACCCUCGUUUCCAAGUCCUCAGAUGCGGUCCUCUUCUUUCCUUGGGGAGAGGGAACUUUAGAUUCUUCUCCCCGGUUAUCCUCCUUCACGGAGACACUAAUUCCCCCGGUUUGGAUGAGUAAUGCGUGAGGCCCGCUUUCGGCUUCCUUAUCCCUCCCUUUAUCUUCCCCUGAUGGCACUUGGUAAGGCACGAGCUCAAGCAUCCUGGCUAGUACAGGAUCAGGUGAGCCUUCGGGAAGGGGGGCCGAACACCUAAUCAUCUUCGCCUUUCUUAUCCAGUCCUGGCCAAGAUCGAUUUUUUCAGAAUGAUGUUAUGACAAAUGAAAAGACGACAUGUUCGGCCGCAGAAUUACUUACAUGGGUAUCUGGAAGAUUGCAGUUUAGACCCGCAUCCUUGGUGCUGUCCGGACACUUUAUUCGUGAUCCGAAGAACAAUCCAUACAUCCCUUCGAGCGUCAUGCCGAAGAGCUGCUGAAUAGUUCAUGGUCCUUCCGGGUUGAACUCCCACAUACAGAGAGAUCAUCGUUGGCAUGGCAGGACCCGACGAACUAGCAUAACUUGCAUUACCUUGACGAGACUGACGUCCCUCUUGAGGAGAUCUCGGAUGCCACUUUGCAAUGUCGGCACGUCAUUAACUGGCCCCCAGUCCAGCCCCUUGUUGAGCCAUGAUGCCAGUUAUGGCAGGGGGGCAAAUGGAAGGUGGGGGCAGCUACCCACUUAGUACUUCGGGGAGCUGUGAUGUAAAACCACUCCCGCUGCCAUAAGUUUGACACCUUCGGGAAGGGACCCUUUGGCCAUGGAGCAUCGACGCCUUUGCUUAUUGUGGCACCUCAGCAUUUUGCGUGUCACCCAUCGAUCAUCUUCGGCUUCACAUCGAAGGUCUUGAGCCAUAAGCCGAAGUGUGGGUGAUGCGGAGGAAGGCCUCACACACAACGAUAAACGACGAGAUGUGAAGGGUGGAAUCCGGGGCUAGAUCGUGGAAAUCGAGCCCAUAAUAGAACAUAAGUCCUCUGACAAAGGGAUCAAGACUAAAGCCUAGCCCUCAGAGGAAGUGGGAAACAAAUACGACGCUCUCGUUGGGUUCGGGAGUGGGGAUGACCUGCCCCUGAGCAGGCAGCCUGUGCGAGAUUUCGGCGGUCAGGUACUUGGCUUCCCUUAGCUUCUUGAUGCCCCCUCUGUGACAAAGAAGGCCAUCCACCGACCUUGAAGGUUGGAUCCGGACAUGGUUGAAGGUCCGAAGCGCUUAGCCUUAGCCUUGGGUGUUGGAAGUCGAGGUGGGGGAGGGGAAGGAUCGAGCGCCAGAAGAAAAGGACAGGCCUUGGCCCCUUUAUAAAGAGGGCGACUAUCAAGCGUCCUCCGCGUGCCCGUUUGAAACUUGCCUAAAAUCGAGGAGUCAUACCAGCGGGUGCGGUUGGGUUACCCACACCCGUAUUGAUGAGAAUCAUGUGAUAAGGGGACACGAUCUCUGCUUUGACAAGACGUGCCGAGAAAACCGCCUCGCAAUAUGUGUAGUAGCUAGUUGAGAAAAACGGUUCGAAUAAUGACCGGGCCAUGGUGUGAUGUCACGUUAUGAAAAGUUUUCAGCAGAUUAGAUUUGUGGAAAUAUUAUACUCUCUACGUUGGUAUGUGGAAUUUGUUUGGCAGAGCCGGACACUAUCCUUGUGUUCAAAAUCUUCUAUGGAGUAUUCAGAGAAGGAACCCGCCUUGCAAUGUCGAAGACAAAUCUACGCGGCGGACUCAUCAUCAUUCAAGCCUGGUUCAAGGGCUACUGAGGGAGUCCUGGAUUGGGGGGUCCUCGGGCAGCCGUACUAUAUCCUUUGGCCGGACUGUUGGACUAUGAAGAUACAAGAUUGAAGACUUCGUCCCGUGUCUGGGUGGGACUCUUCUUUGCGUGGAAGGCAAGCUUGGCAAUUCGGAUAUGUAGAUCUCCUCCCUUGUAACCUACUCUGUGUAACCCUAGCCCCCUCCGGUGUCUAUAUAAACUGGAGGGUUUAGUCCAUAGGACAACAACAAUCAUAAUCAUAGGAUAGCUUCUAGGGUUUAGCCUCUACGAUCUCGUGGUAGAUCAACUCUUGUAAUACUCAUAUCAUCAAGAUCAAUCAAGCAGGAAGUAGGGUAUUACCUCCAUCUAGAGGGCCCGAACCUGGGUAAACAUUGUGUCCCCUUCCUCCUGUUACCAUCCGCCUUAGACGCACAGUUCGGGACCCCAUACCCGAGAUCCGCCGGUUUUGACACCGACAACCACCCCGACUACGGGCCGAUUUUUUGGUCAAUAUUUUUGAUUGGUGCAAUUUAUUCUCUGCCGAGAUAUAUAGCCAGUAGCCCUCAAGGUGUGUAUCGGUGUAAAACCCGAGAUGCACCUGAAGGAUGACAUAAGACCGCUAAUCCAAGUAGCCCCUGAGACUCAGGUUGAUUCACAAAUUCAGCCUGAGGAUCAACUCCUAGCUCGGCGGAACACUUCGGGACACAAAAAGUGGUGUGCAAAUUCCUCGAGACUCAGGUUGGGUGCGGUCGACCAACCUGAGGAUCAUAAUCUCCUCGAAAGCUAUAUUGCACUUUAAAUUUUUUGCAUAGUUUGUCAAUGCAGUAGCCCCCGAGACACUGAUCGGGUGUCAACACCAGAUCAGGGGAUCGAUACGCCCCUUUCAAUAUUAGUGAAUGAUAAGCCCGAAGCCCAGUAGCCCGCGAGCCAUAAUGUGGGCACGGGUGGCCGAAUUAAGGAUCGAUAUCCAGAGUAAAACCACAAAUUAUGUGUAAUGAUUCUACGUAUCCAAGUACUUUACAUCAUUAAUGCUCGGAUCCGCAUUGUACAAAACUUUGUUGACCGACCAUCGGCUUCAACCUCCUCGGCCAAAAGCCGGGGAGUGUUUGUCCUACUUUAUAAAGCCGUUAUAAGGGCAAAGAUUUAUGGAAAACAAGGCAAUCCGGUCUUACGGUUUUAUAAACAACGGUACGCUGAGAGAUAUGUUAUAUUACUUGAUAUAAGGAACAUCUUCAAAGGAAAAUAUUCCCGCUAUCGAUUCCUUUCUUUGGGUCGUCAUGCUUAUCAUGAUCAUGAAACCUCACCUCCGAUCAAUGUGGGAGGAAAAUAUUGAGGAUUUAGUUCGGGGAAAGUUCCCGAACUCUAUGGUAUUAAUGAACCAAAAAUUUUACUUCCGUCGUUGCCGACCAAUGUGAUCCUUUAAGAUCGCUAGCUUUCGGCUCCACCAAGUCUGAGGUACUAACUUGGAUGACCCGGUAGUAACAAUCAUAGAGGUGCUCCCUUUACCGUCUAGCCGAACAAUCGGGAACGUAGGGGUAAGCACAGGAGCUAGGCAACCCAGCUUGGCAAAAAUCUUAAGUCAAAUUGAUGCAUAUUUAUGGCUUUAUAACGAUGAUUAUGGAAGGAAGCCCUUGUAUGUUAAAUACAAAUGAUGAUGAUAUGUUUAUUUUGACUCCGUUACGACCGUUUAUCAGUUGAAAGUGGACCAUCGUCGGCUUGUAUCCCUUUGUAGAUACUACGCAGGGUGUCUCCGCAAUAACAAGACAACCCUUAGCCGAUGUCUCGGUGCCCGAAGGCGGUUGUGUUAGCGGAAAUGAGGCAAUCAGAUAUGCGGGCUUUAUAACUUUCACUUAGUCAUAGGAGCUUUAAAAUGGGGAAGCUAGCUAUGAGCCCCCAGUUAGUCUUCGGCGACAUCCGAGGUCAAGCCGUAAACACUUCGGCCAAUGUUAUGAACGGCCCGUCAUUUAACACAGUCAUCGGAUCACUGACCAGUUUACGCUUAUUGUGAUAGUCAGUUUUCAGCUUUCUCCACUGAGAUGCUUAACCAUGUGAGCUGGAAGCACAAUCGCAGUAGUUCUCCCUUUGCACACCUAGCCGAACAAAGCAGAACGUAGGAGGCAAGCGCAGGAGCUUGGCAACCCAACUAUUGACCGAAGACACAAUUCGAAACCGAUGCAUAUUUAGAAAUAUCCGAGAAUGUUUUUGCCGAAUCUCUAAAGGUGUUCGGCGUUGCACUACGAGACUUGUGUUGAAACACACAAAUAGUUUAAAAGUGCCAUAAGCUUGGAAAACCAAAAAACGUCAGUAAAAACUUGACGUCUGAACAAGAUCAAGUGUUCGGUGCCAAUCCGAAAAUUGGAAAAAAAGAAAGAAAAAAUGUGCUUCUGUCGUGCUUUAGCAUGACACACCCGGUCUCAACACUUCAAGCGGGCCAGCUUACGGCUUCGAGCUCCUUAUCCCAAAGGCGGAGUACUUCUUCGAGGCCAGUUUAGCGAAUUAAACUCGAGCGGCUUUUUAGAGAGAAGACAGGCUAUCCGGCUAUUGACCAUGCACUCGAGUUGAAAAAGGAGCGGUAGAAAAAGACUUUGCAACAACCAAGAAGAAAACACAUUUACUAUAAAAAAACUCAUAUAAAUUUUAAGAGCCCCCAAGUGACUUGGGUAAAAGAAUUUUAUGUAUAAUGAUUGUAUGUACCGAUGUAUUUAUAUCAUAUCUGUGUUCACCCGAACUUUAAACGUGUCUUAACUGACCGUCGGCUUCUCCCUCUUUGGUCAAGGACCAAAAGUAUCAUGUACUCCACCUAUCGAAAGUAUCGACAGUGUUUCCGAUAACCAGGCAAUCAGGCCAUAAGGCUAUAACAGACAUAGCGCGCUCAGGGAACUUAUGCUAUAUUACUGACAAAGUGUAUGAAGCAUCUUCGAAGAAAACAGUACCUCCACCGAUACCUUUCUUCGGUUGCUCAUUGUUACUAUGAGAAUUGUGCAAUAGAUUUUUUGUACUCAUGAGUUCCGUUGUGUGCCAACCAUUAUUGCAAACAAUAAGAGCGCUAGCUUUUGGCUUCACCCAGUCUGAGGUACUAACUCGGAUGACCCGGUAGCAACAAUCAUAGAGGUGCUCCCUUUACUGCCUAGCCGAACAAUCAGGAACGUAGGGGUAAGCACAGGAGCCAGGCAACCCAGCUUGCGAAACACUUAAGUCAACAUGGUGCAUAUUGUGGCAUAAUACAUGAACAAGGAACGAAGUCGUACAAGUAUAAUCAUAUGCAAGAGGAAAGGCUUCAUAAAGGAAGCCCCCAAGUAAAUGGGGUAUUUGAAUUUGCUUGCAACAAACAAGGUUUUGACAAAGAAAGUUUUUCGCAAAUGACUUUUUGUCAAAAAAGCAUAAUGCUUGGUCGAACCGAACAAAAUUUAAAACUAAAGGUUUUUAAGCAUGGAAGCUACUUAGCUGGUUAAUGUGCUCGGUGUCGAUGCACGGCCCGAGCUUAUGGCGGGACAAGGUCCCAGCCCCCAAGCCGGUCCCGAGGUGGCGGAGUGAAGAGCUCGGCACUCCGAAGUGGCGACAUAGCACGGCUAAUGCAGGCCGGCCGUGAGACGUUGAAGUCCCCGGCAUGGCUUAAUGAAGUAAUGACGAAGCCUCGGUCCAGCCGAGGUGAAGUGGUAUGUCGAUACGCCAAGGUGACAGUGCUGCCCGACCCGGAUCCUUUACCUGUGAACAGAAAAUAGUGCAAGCCGGAGAUAAUAGGAAUAAUAAUAAUAAUAAUUGAUGCAUAAUUAAUAAUUUACGCAAAGUGAGUAAUAAAAGAAAUAUGGCCCGUGUGCUAAACACUCGAUGAGGUAGAGCUCUCUCAGUGAUACCGAAGUCCCCGAGGCAACCAAACAUGUCGCUAUGGCGAUUCGACGAACAAGGUGAUCACGCGAGUCGAUUGAGACAACAACGUCGGCUUGCCAAAGUGACCGCGGACGCAGUCGAAGUCGAUCACCUACACACAUAAAAUAGUGCGGUCCAAAAAGAAUAAUUGCUUUUCGCAAAAAUAAUUUAUUAAAAGAGAUGUGGCCUGGCACCAAAGUCAUGUCGAUGCAGGGCGUCGGCGUGACGCGGUGAAGGCGUGGCCAAGCCUGAAUUCGCAGGUCGGUCUGAGUUCCAGAUGCGGCAUUCGCCGAACUGUAUACGGAAACUGACCGAACCACCACGCGACGGUUGUUAAUGCGGCCACCAUUUGAUAGACCUGUGUACAGAUGAUGAAACAAACCAGAGUAAUAAUUCCUUUAGAAAAAUAAACCCAAGCAAGAAAAAAUACUAGGAUUAAUAGCACAUGGUUUAUCUGUUGUAGCAAUCUGAAGAAAGGCUACUCCCAAAAUUGGGACUCGAUGUGCACACCCAUUGCCUGAUGGGCGAUAAAGCGAUGGCAUGGCGAUGCUGGCAAAGGUGGGCUCGCCGAGGCAAAGCCCUCGGUCCAGCUAACGUGACGAAGCUGGUCGACUGGUGAUGCCGAAGUCACCGGAGUAUGUUGAUGAAGAAAUAGCAAAGUCUCCGGUCUAGCCGAGAUGACGGAGCAGGUCAGUAAGAAGACAUUGCAGCUGCCAUGUUAGCCGAGGUGUUGAAGCAGUUUAGCAUGAUGGACAUCAGCUUGAAAAAGCAACAGUGUGGCCAUGCCGACGCUGGUCAUAACUUGUGAUGCGGUUAAUGUCGGAUUGAUGAAGUGACCGAGCGGUGAUGUCGGUGCGCCUGACCCGUGCAAUCCGUGGGGCGAUGGUGUUGGUGAUGAUUUAUCCUUCACGAUGACGAACUCUUGUUUGGCUUGCUGAACUGAUGAUCUGAUAAGGUUAGGCUCGACUCGAUGAAGCGACGAUCUGUUUAGCGCAGGUCGGCAGACGUGGAGCAAUGUUACCGGACUGGUGUGACACCAGCGCGAUGGUGAAGAGUGACUCAAAGAAGGCUUAAACUUUUAUGAGCACGUGCUAAAAGCAACGCACAAUACCAUAGAAGAAAAUUCCUUUAAAAGGUUGUCCAAUAUCACGUUCAUAAAGAAACAUGAAUUCUAGUCGAAUCUGUAUUCGCGCAGAAAACCGGUCCGAAAAGUGAUGCACUAAUCGGAAGGUUCCUGGAGUUUGGACGGUCCAAUCAAGCUGAAAUUUUGAAGGGUGGUAGAUAUAGGAAUUCUGCAGCCGGUCAAUGGUUGGAUCUUCCAAAGGACGUCCGAGCUAGGUGCUGGAGACCACGCCCUAGACUCGUCCAGAUUCCCGUCCAGAUUUGACACGGCUCUGGUAUAUCGUUGAUUGCCGGAGAUUCCUCCAUCGGAACUCGACGAAAUUUUGCAUGGUUGUUGUAGAGUCAAUUCCGCACAAUUCCACCAAAAGAAUCGUCAAAGCGAUGCUUUAGGAGGUGGUGGCAGCGGAUACAAGUUCGCUGUUCAAAAAAAUAGCACUGUCGCCCGAGGGCAAUGUUGACGUUGAGCCCCCGAGCUCCAUGGAUGAUUCCUCCAUGAUCUUGAUAGAGAUUGGAGUUGAUGUUGAUGAAGGCCCCAUCCGAAUAUGACAAUCGGAGAUGGAGUGCGGUCCUCGGUCAAGCCAAGGUGACCAGUCAAGCCGGUGAUGAAGAUGUCGGCAUCGCAGUUAAUCUAUGGGCGAGCCAUUGAUCCUUUGCUGCACAGCAGAACUCUCAAUGAAAGCACCAUUGUCGGUGUCAAAACCGGUAGAUCUCGGGUAGGGGGUCCCGAACUGUGCGUCUAAGGAUCGAUGGUAACAGGAGACAGGGGACACGAUGUUACCCAGGUUUGGGCCCUCUUGAUGGAGGUAAUACCCUACUUCCUGCUUGAUUGACUUUGAUGAGUAUAGGGGUUACAAGAGUUGAUCUACUCGAGAUCGUAUAUUGUGGUCUAAACCCUACAGGUACGAUGAGUAAUGUCAUAAUAAUCUACCGAAUAACCUGGCCUCGGCUUAUAUAAUAUACCAGAGGCCUAGGAGAACAAGAGUCCUAGUCGAAUACGCCGGUGGAGAGGAGUCCUUGUCUUGAUAACCAAGUCUUGUGGAAUCUUCCUCGUGUAUACAUCGGCUGUUCAAACUGGCCCAUGAGCAUACGGCCAUGGGGUCCUUGGCCCAAUCCAACUGAUUGGGAGAUGACGUGGUGAGUACCCCCUAGUCCAGGACACCGUCACCCCCUACUAGCUGGGACCCAGUAUAGUGGCAGGCUAACUUGUGGGCCUACUAAGCUGAUGGGGACGGAGGGCUUUAUCAACUUAGUCAAUAUGCACGAUUCUAGCUCCAGUGACUGUACGAUGUCCAUCCAACGGCCGUAGUGCUUCUUCAACCUCUGGUCUUCUUGCUCCAGCUGCCCAAACCAGCGCUGGUCGCACAUCAUGCUCCUGCCUCCCGUGGCCGACUGCGAUGCCGUGGAGGCCUCACCGCCCCUACUACUCCCAUCGCUGGCCAGGCCAUCCCUCUACUCACCCACACCCCCUGUUAUUCUAUGGCGAUGACAGCCUCACACCGCAGCGAACCAGUGAACUCUCAUACUCCUCUACGCGUGGGCAUCCACUGUCGCAUCUUCCCCGGCUCCACGUCGUCCCCUUCCAAGGUCUUGCCGUCGUCCACCGCCUUGGUGCUCUCAGCACGGCCUGGUCAACGUGGUCAAGGAACAGCUUCCAUUGGACGUGGACUGUAUGUGGAGAGGCUGACAGCUGGGUCCACGGCCGCAGCAAGGAAGUGCCUCCUUAUUACGUGCAAAAUAAUUAUUCCUCCACCUGACAGUGGGGACCCACCGGACGGGCCAUCAUAUUUUGCGAAAUAAAUGUUUCCCCUUGACUGUUGGGACCGACCAGCUACAUCUUCGCACGCAAGGAAGUGCGUUUGGGCAAGAAAAAACGAUUCGCCCCCUGACUGUUGGGACCCACCAGCUACAUCUUCGCAUGCAAGGAAGUGCCUGACAGUCGGGACCCACCUGGUCGAAGCGUACAUAGCGUUGUCAUUUUGGUCGCGAACGUGUACGCACAUACUGGUCGAUGUAGAGGCGUGCACGUGUCGUAGUAGAGGCGCGCAUGUAGCAUGUACACGUACUUACAGCGGCCAGUGUGCAAGAAAGAAAAUACGGCCACCUACGUACAUACGGGCGGGGUCUCGAACGCCUACUCGCGCAUACGUACGGCCAGGGCUCGUGUACAUGGCUGGGUCGGAACGGAGAAACUGCGUCGUCGUUGUGUUCAUGGGGAGCCAACCGGCUGGGUCGAAACGGAAUGUGUCGUCGUGUUCAUCGGGAGGGCUUGGACGGAACAGCCGAUGGAAACAUGGCAUGGCGUACCGCAGAACGAAGGAAACGGCCUUGUGUUCGACCGGCCACGUUUGAAACGGGAUCCUGUUCAUCGGGAGGGGUCUGGCGUACCGCAAAACGGAGGAACGGACCUCCUACGGUCGAAACGGGGUCCUGUUGAUCGAGAGGGGUGUGGCGUACCGCAAAACGGAGGAAACAGACUUGUGUUGGAGCGCUACGGUCGAAACGGGCGUCCUGUUCAUCGGGAGGGGUGUGGCGUACUGCAAAACGGGACUCCACGGGAUACUGUUCAUCUCCACCGUCGACCCCCUCUAGCCUCCAUGGACUACGGUUCAUCCACCAUCGACCUCCUCCAGCCUCCACAUGCGACUGUUCAUCCAGCCUCCACCACGCGCUACUCCACAGGCUACUGUUCAACCAGCCAUCUCCAUGGGCUCCUGUUCAACCACCCCUCCACGGGCUACUGUUUAUCCAGCCCUCAAGCCUCUUCUGUUCAUCCAGCCCUCCACGGGGUGGUCCUAUUCAUCCAGCCCUCCACGGGGUCCUGUAACAUCCCAAAUUUUCAAUUUGGAAUUUUAUACAUUAGAGCAUCAUGCAUAUCAUAUUUUAUUUUGCAUUUUGGUUGAUCCUAGAAAUUCUACGCAACUCAAUGACCCACGGAGAGAGUUGGGGAUUUUGUUAUUUUCAUAUUUGAGUUCUCUCAAAUUUUGAGAAUAGGAUCAUUUGAUUUUAUUUAUUUUAUCAUCAAUUAUUUCUAUUACAAAAAUAUGAGACAGGGAAUAAAAUGACUUUCCCAAAAUAAAGAAAUAUUGAGGAUUUAAUAAUAAAAUCAAAUAAGAUUUUUAUUUCGGAGUUUUUCGGUGUUUUAUUUGAAUUUAGGAAAAAUGUGCGUUUUUCAAAAUUGCAUUUAGGGCCCAAAUAAAUAUUCACCUUGUGCGGCUUGAUUUUAGAAGCCCGUGAAAAUUUAUUUCGGAAUUUUUGGAGUCCAUUUAGUUUUUCUUUUUAUUUUUCUUCCGAGCGGAAUAACUAAAAAAAACCGACUUCGGGCCGUACCCGAGCGGGACACCGCCCGGGGGCAGCCUUUAAAUAGCGCCGCCACGAGACGCCCCAGCCCAUCAGCCCCGCCUCGAUCCACGCACGCCGCCAGAGCCGCCGCCGCCGACGAUCCCGCCGCCCGAAUACAGAUUAAAUCGGCAUUCGUCGUUUUUCUUUUUCUCGGAUUAAAUCCGCGAUUUUUCUGAUCGCGAUUCCUGAUCCGAUUUUCGUUUUAGUUUAACUUUCCUCUUGUUUAUCGGAAUCAGGCGAUUCAAGCGCCUAGAGUUUCGUCUCGAAACCCACUAUCCGUUUAACCAACUUAAACAAGUUUUCGUUAUUGUAAAAUUUGAACUAGAUCCAGAUUACUAGAACGAAGUUGUUUUCUUUCGCCGUUUGUCUUUCGUUGCUUCGUUCGAUUUGAUUCUUUUUGCCAACCAGAGUUCUUAAGUUGAACCUUCUGGUUAGAUCUCUUAUUUGAGUUUUACCUGUGCGUUAGAUGAGUACUUAUUGUAUGCUUGUUUGUUUGUUUGCGAUAGAGUACCCGGAGUGCGCCGCCUGUUACUUCGAAUCGUUAGGUUUCGCGGAUCAUCAGCAAGGCAAGUAACACUUUGAUCAUACCUUUUCUACUACCCAGCUUUAUUGCAUUAGAUCAAUCCUCACACAUUGCAUGAUUAGGAUCUAAUUAAAUUGUGGGAUGGGAAGUAGAUGAGGUAGUACCUAUUACCUGUUUACUAUCAAACCUUUGGGAGUUACUUCUACGUUUGCUUAUUAUGCCAUGCUAUGCUAGUAGACAUGGAUUGGGUGAGUGAAAUCCAUGACAGGUGUGAGAUUGUUAAUUAAUGGUUUAUCUAAGGUGGCAACUUAAACACACAUCUGGGUGGAUUGAGGCACCUGGGUAUUCCAGGACUUGCCUGUUUUCUUUUGGACCGCCACCCAGGCUCAAAGGGAUCAUGAGACUAUUCAUACUAGAAACUUCCGUGUGCAGCCACAAGCUAUUAUGGGCUCUAGCAUAGUUGACUAAGUCGUGCGAACUCUUACAGUGGUAGACUAGCAGAUGUAGGGGAUGUAGGUGGUACGGUCUACCCAUCGUAAGGUGCUAGCGCUUCUGAAAGACUAUGUCUCGGUCAUCCGUCUUCUCAAACACCGUGUAGUGCGAGAAACCAAACGGAGGCGAUCGAGUCUUGUGGGGAAAAGUGCGCAAACCUCUGCAGAGUGUAAUAAACUAAUCAUGGUUAGCCGUGUCCCCGGUUAUGGACAUCUUGAGUAUCUAGUACCUGGAUUUUCAUGUGAAUCUCAACAUGUUACUCUAAAUUAAUUUUGUUGGGUUAUGCUUAAUUGGGAUUGAUAAUGCUGUCAACCAUUCUCAAUGUUUAACAACCACCAUGAUAGUAAUUAAAUUUUAUUCCUUUGAAGUAGGGAAAAAUUGGCUUUACGCAAAACUGUAACCAUAGAGCUUUCCACCAGCCAAAUAUGCAUAUAGUAUAGCCUUUUAUUUUCAUUGCUCUCUAUGUGUUACCUUGCGAGCAUAUUCCAUGUGCUGACCCAUUUCGGGCUACAACGUUAAUGUUGCAGACUUUUCAGACGAUGAUUAAGGAGUUUUUAGGUCGUGGUUCUAUACUCAGUGAUGCCGUUGGAGUUGAUGGACUCACUUAUCUUCCAAGCCUUCCGCUGUUAUUGUUUUUAGAUGGCCUUAAGCCAUAUGUAUUGUAAUAAGUUCUCUUAUGAGACACUCGAUGUAAUAGGUGUGUGAUUGCUACUCUGCUAUAAAUCCUCCUAGUACUGUGUGGUGUCGGCAUUACUGAUCUAGGGAUGACACCAGAGCACACAGAUCAGACCGUUUGAGGUCUGGUCGCUACAAAGAUGGUAUCAGAGCACACGCUGACUGUAGGACACGACCACUAAGCACAAGACCUAGAUCACUAUUCACUCUCUUCUCUUCUGACCUCUCAUCUUUUGUACUCUUUAGGAUGGCGGAUGCAAGGAACAAGUUCACACAACCGGAUGAAGAUACACCCUUUGGACGCCACUUGAAGGAAGUCACUAGAUACCUGACAUAGGAGUACCAAGCUUCACGGGAACCUACAACGCCACUUUACCUGAAGAAGAGCGCUGGAUGAUUCAAGUUCAAGUUCCAGGAAGGACGUUCAUGCCAGUCACAGAGCCCAUAUUGUUUUCUUUUGAUGCACCAACUUGGAGUCUAGGAAAGAGCAUGGCAGCUCACAUCGCCAUGGGACGCAUUGGAGAAGUCUACCAUAAAGAUCUCAAGGAUACUAUCUACCAGAUUUGUGGGCGCCAAGAUGAGCACUGGGAGAUGAUCAGCACCAGGAAGGAUAGGUCAAUCGCAGCUUUUAUCUAGGAGUUAAAUCAGCACAUUCGACGACAGGAGAACCAGAUGUGCGCCGACAUGAUAGACCUGAAGAAGGCAAAGACUAGAAUCAAGGAACUGGAGGAAGAACUCAAGGCUACACGUGAAGAUUAUGAAGAGGAAAUUGAAGUAUUGGUGAAGAAGAAUGACGACCUGAUCAAGAAGAUUGGAAUAUUUAUGGGAGGCCCUAUGCCAGUAGAUGAAUACGAAGAACCCAAGGAGAUUAGCCCGGAAGACUACAUCAUCAUCGACGGCACCGACUCGGAACAAGAUAGUAGCAAUGAUGACUAUGUUGAUGAAGCUGGAGCAGAUAUCAUGGAGUCUGCAACUGAAGAAUAUUUCUAGUAGACCACCUCAUCAGUAGUAGUAGUCCACCAUGUAAAUAUAGUAGUCCGAGCACUUUUGCGAUAGUUAGAUCGAUUGUAUGCCCUUGUUUGAUUGAUUGAAGUGAAUUGUUUGUUUUUGCCUCAUGUGCAUAUGGGUAGUGUCUUCUCUUUAAACCCCCCUCUAUUCUUAUAUCUCAUCUUUUCUAAACCCUCAGAUGCCUCCGAGACGUGACCCCGGAUUUGCCUUUCCACCGGAGCUCACCCAGUUAAUCCAGCAGCAGAACACGUUGAUGCAGUUGCUAGUCCAGAAUCAGAAUCAGGGGAACAACAACAUCCCACCACCACCACCACCACCUGUUGACCACUUAGCCCGUUUUCUUAGGCUGAAUCCGCCGGCGUUUUCCAGUAGCGCCGAGCCAAUAGUAGCAGAUGAUUGGCUCUGCAAGACAGCUAGGGAGUUGACCACAGCAGGAUGUACGGAUGCGGAGAAGGUGAAGUUUGCCGCACAUCAGUUAGAAGGACCCGCAGCAUCAUGGUGGGAGAAUUUCACAGCCACUUUCCCAGUAGACACUGUCACAUGGGACCAGUUUCAGCAGGCUUUUCGUACUGCACAUGUUUCAGCAGGAGCUAUGGCCAUGAAGAAGUGUGAGUUUCGCAACUUGCGCCAAGGAGGAAGGACAGUUGGCCAGUAUGUGGAGGAAUUUAGUAAGCUAGCACGUUAUGCCCUAGAUGACGUCGCUACGGAUGCAGCUAAGCAGGAGAAGUUUCUGGAAGGACUGAAUGAUGAGUUGAGCAUGCAGUUGAUGGUGGCAACCUUCAACAACUACCAGGAGUUGGUAGAUCGUGCUCUUAUGAUUGAAGGGAAGCAACAACAAAUUGAGAACCGCAAGAAGAAGUAUGGACAAGGAAAGUACAAUUCAGGAGCUCAGCAGAAGCCACGUUUUACCCCUAGACCGGGAGGACAUUUUUAGCAUACCAUGGUUGAGGUAGCUCGCACAAUCACAAUGGCACCAAGAAUGGUAAUGGCAAUGGAGGAAGCAACGGCCAGAACCGCACCAACCCAUCAACCCCAGCCAAGAAGGACUUAAGCCAAGUCACUUGAUUUAAGUGUUCGAAGACCGGACAUUAUGCCAAUGAAUGCCCUGAAUUACAAAAUGGAAAUAGCAAUGGAAGUUCUGGGAAGAAGCCGAACCCUUUCAACAGGGGACAGGUGAACCACGUUAGCGUGGAGGAGGUUGAAGCUCAGCCUGAUGCAGUAAUAGGUAAGUUUUUGGUUAAGUCAUUUACUACACUCGUUCUUUUUGAUACUGGUGCAUUGCAUUCAUACAUCUCAAGGGGAUUUGUGGAUAAGUAUAACCUACCAACCCAAGCCCUUAGGUCACCCAUGUUAGUAACCUCGCCCGGAGCAGAGUAUGUGGCUAGUCUAUGGUGUGAUCAGUUACCAUUAAGGAUUGCUAACUAUGUUUUUCCCUCAGACCUAAUAGUAUUGUAAUCUCAAGGAUUGGAUGUGAUAUUAGGCAUGGAUUGGUUAUCAAAGUAUGGAGGGAAUAUUGAGUGUGCUAGCAAGUCAAUUUUGCUUACCACCCCAGAAGGGAGAAAGAUCAAGUAUGUAUCCCGGCAUGUGCCAAAGAGGACUUAAGUAAAUUGCCUAACAGGAGUUGUGCAGGAGGAAGUACCAGUGGUAAGGGAUUUUCCCGAUGUAUUUCCAGAGGAGUUGCCAGGCAUGCCACCGGAUAGAGAUAUUGAGUUUUUGAUGGAGCUAUUGCCAGGCACAGGGCCAAUAUCAAAGAGACCAUAUAGGAUGCCAGCAAAGGAUUUGGUGGAAAUUAAGAAGCAGAUUAAGAAGUUACUGGAUAAAGGAUAUAUUUGCCCAAGUUCUUUGCCUUGGGGAUCGCUAGUACUUCUAGUGGAGAAGAAGGAUGGAUCGUUAAGGAUGGUUGUUGAUUAUCAAGGAUUGAAUGAAGUAACGAUCAAGAACAAGUACCCGCUACCAAUGAUCAAUGAUCUGUUUGAUCGAUUGCAAGGAGCUAAGGUAUUUUCCAAGAUCGAUCUGCGAUCAGGAUACCACCAGUUGAAGAUUCGAGAACAGGAUAUUCCGAAGACAGCUUUUACCACCAGGUAUGGGCUGUAUGAGUAUACUGUUAUGUCAUUUGGUCUGACUAACGCACCUGCCUAUUUUAUGAACAUGAUGAACAAAGUGUUUAUGGAGUUUUUGGAUAAGUUCGUCGUAGUGUUCAUUGAUGAUAUCCUGGUUUAUUCGAAGAAUGAAGAGGAACAUAAGGAGCAUUUGCGUUUGGUACUUGGAAAGCUCAGAGAACAUCAAUUAUAUGUCAAGUUCAGCAAAUGUGAGUUUUGGUUGAAGGAAGUAGGAUUCCUCGGACAUGUUAUAUCUGGAGAAGGUAUAGCAGUAGAUCCUGCUAAAAUUGAAACCGUGACCAAGUGGGAAGCCCCAACAACAGUUGGAGAGAUCCAGAGUUUUCUUGGACUCGCAGGAUACUACCGGAGAUUUAUUGAGAAUUUCUCAAAGAUUGCGAAGCCUAUGACUGAGUUGUUGAAGAAGGAUACCAAGUUCAUAUGGACAGAGGAAUGUGAGGCUAGUUUCCAGGAGUUGAAGAAACGCUUGGUUACCUCACCAAUGUUGAUUUUGCCAGACCAGACCAAAGAUUAUGAGGUGUAUUGCGACGCUUCAUGUCGAGGACUUGGAGCAGUGCUUAUGCAGGAAGGGAGAGUUGUUUCAUAUGCCUCAAGACAACUGAAGCCUCAUGAGUUGAAUUAUGCCACGCAUGAUUUGGAGUUAGCAGCCGUAGUGCAUGCUUUGAAAACAUGGAGACAUUUCCUCAUUGGAAAUCAUUGUGAGGUGUACACGGAUCAUAAGAGUUUGAAGUAUAUUUUCACACAGAAGGAGUUAAAUCUCAGACAAAGGAGAUGGUUGGAGCUUAUCAAGGAUUAUGAUAUGAAAUUGCAUUAUCACCCCGGAAAGGCUAAUGUAGUAGCUGACGCAUUAAGCCGUAAGAGCCAUGUCAAUACAUUAAUGACGGGAGAAAUACCCAAGGAGUUAGCAGAUAAUCUUCAUGAACUAUGUUUGGAAAUAGUUCCGAGAGGCUAUGUAGCAGCAUUGGAGAUUCAGUCCACUUUGAUGGAUAGAAUUAGAGAAGCUCAGAAAGCUGACAAAGAGAUUGCCGCUAUAAAGGAGAAACUGAGCAAAGGAAAAGCUAAAGGAUUUCGUGAGGAUGAGCACGACACCCUAUGGUUUGAAGACCGCGUUUAUGUGCCCAAGAACCCGGAGAUCUGGAAGUUGAUUUUGCAAGAGUCACACGACUCACCGUAUUCGAUUCACCCAGGAAAUACCAAGAUGUAUUUGGAUUUGAAGGAUAUUUCUGGUGGACCGAAAUGAAGAAGGAUAUUGCGGAGUAUGUAGCAGUUUGUGAUAUAUGUCAGAGAGUAAAGGCAAAGCAUCAUAAGCCAGCAGGAUUGUUACAACCAUUGCCGAUACCCGAAUGGAAGUGGGAUAAGCUAGGCAUGGAUUUUAUCACGGGAUUGCCCAGGACUCGUUCAGGCUAUGACUCGAUUUGGGUUGUAGUUGAUCGAUUGACGAAAGUAGCUCAUUUCAUCCCAGUAAAGACCACUUACACUAGUGCUAAGUUGGCAAAGAUAUACAUGACCAGGAUCGUAUGUUUGCAUGGAGUUCCAAGGAGUAUCGUAUUAGAUAGAGGAACCCAGUUUACCUCAAAGUUCUGGAAGCAGUUGCACGAAACUUUGGGAACCAGGCUAGAAUUCAGUACAGCUUUUCAUCCACAGACAGAUGGACAGACCGAGAGAGUCAAUCAGAUUUUGGAGGAUAUGCCGAGAGCUUGUGCGCUAGAUUAUGGAUCUAGUUGGGAUGAUAAUUUUCCAUAUGCAGAGUUCUCUUACAACAACAGUUACCAAACCAGUUUAAAGAUGGCCCCUUUCGAAGCAUUGUACGGAAGGAGGUGCAAGACACCGUUGUCGUGGGACGAAGUUGGAGACCGCCAGUUGUUUGGACCUGACUUGAUUAAAGAGUCUGAACAGAAGGUGAAGUUGAUUCGCGAUAGGCUCAAGGUAGCCCAGUCCAGAUAGAAGAGUUAUGCGGAUUCUAAACGCAAGGAGACAGUUUACGAAGUCGGAGAUAGAGCUUAUCUUCGAGUAUCUCCACUUCGAGGAACAAAGCGUUUUGGAGUUAAAGGGAAGUUAGCACCACGAUUUGUAGGACCAUAUCGAGUUUUGGAGCGUAUGGGAGAAGUGGCCUACAAGAUGGAAUUUCCCGAAGGAUUGUCAGGAGUACAUGAUGUGUUCCACGUUUCUCAGUUAAAGAAAUGUCACGCGGAGAUGGCUGACAUACCGUUGAGAGACACAGUGCCUUUGGAAACUAUUCAGUUGGAUAACGAUUUGACCUACGAGGAGAAACCAGUCAAGAUUCUCGACUUUGCCAACCGAGUUACUCGCAGCAAGGUUAUCAAGUUUUGCAAAGUUCAGUGGAGCCACCACUCAGAGGAUUAAGCCACCUGGGAGCGAGAGGAAGAUUUGCUAAAGACCACCCUCACCUAUUUUCUAGCCAACCCUAAUCUCGAGGGCGAGAUUCAUCUUAAGGGGGUAGGUUUGUAACAUCCCAAAUUUUCAAUUUGGAAUGUUAUACAUAGAGCAUCAUGCAUAUCAUAUUUUAUUUUGCAUUUUGGUUGAUCCUAGAAAUUCUACGCAACUCAAUGACCCACAGAGAGAGUUGGGGAUUUUGUUCUUUUCAUAUUUGAGUUCUCUCAAAUUUUGAGAAUAGGAUCAUUUGAUUUUAUUUAUUUUAUCAUCAAUUAUUUCUAUUACAAAAAUAUGAGAGAGGGAAUAAAAUGACUUUCCCAAAAUAAAGAAAUAUUGAGGAUUUAAUAAUAAAAUCAAAUAAGAUUUUUAUUUCAGAGUUUUUCGGUGUUUUAUUUGAAUUUAGGAAAAAUGUGCAUUUUUCAAAAUUGCAUUUAGGGCCCAAAUAAAUGUUCACCUUGUGCGGCUUGAUUUUAGAAGUCCGUGAAAAUUUAUUUCGGAAUUUUAGUUUUUCUUUUUCUUUUUCUUCCGAGCGGAAUAAUUAAAAAAACCGACUUCGGGCCGUACCCGAGCGGGACACCGCCCGGGGGCAACCUUUAAAUAGAGCCGCCCCGAGCCGCCCCAGCCCAUCAGCCCCGCCUCGAUCCGCGCGCGCCGCUGGAGCCGCCGACGCCGCCGCCGACGAUCCCGCCGCCCGAGGUUCGCCGCGCCUCGAUUUCCAUGCCGAAAGAAAGAAAAAAAAGGAAAAAAAUCGGUGUUCGUCGUUUUUCUUUUUCUUGGAUUAAAUCCGCGAUUUUUCUGAUCGUGAUUCCUGAUCCGAUUUUCAUUUUAGUUUAACUUUUCGCUCGUUUAUCGGAAUCAGGCGAUUCAAGCGCCUAAAGUUUCAUCUCGAAACCCUCUAUCCGUUUGACCAACUUAAACAAGUUUUUGUUACUGUAAAAUUUGCCCUAGAUCCAUAUUACUAGAACGAAGUUGUUUUCUUUCGCCGUUUGUCUUUCAUUGCUUUGCUCGAUUUGAUUCUUUUGCCAACCGGAGUUCUUAAGUUGAACCUUCUGGUUAGAUCUCUUAUUUGAGUUUUACUUGUGCAUUAGAUGAGUACUUAUUGUAUGCUUGUUUGUUUGUUUGCGAUAGAGUACCCGGAGUGCGCCGCCUGUUACUUCGAAUCGUUAGGUUUCGCGGAUCAUCAGCAAGGCAAGUAACACUUUGAUCAUACCUUGUCUACUACCCAGUUUUAUUGCAUUAGAUCAAUCCUCACACAUUGCAUGAUUAGGAUCUAAUUAAAUUAUGGGAUGGGAAGUAGAUGAGGUAGUACCUAUUACCUGUUUACUAUCAAACCUUUGGGAGUUACUUCUACGUUUGCUUAUUAUGCCAUGCUAUGCUAGUAGACGUGGAUUGGGUGAGUGAAAUCCAUGACAGAUGUGAGAUUGUUAAUUAAUGGUUUAUCUAAGGUGGCAACUUAAACACACAUCUGGGUGGAUUGAGGCACCUGGGUAUUCCAGGACUUGCCUGUUUUCUUUUGGACCGCCACCCAGGCUCAAAGGGAUCAUGAGACUAUUCAUACUAGAAACUUCCGUGUGCAGCCACAAGCUAUUAUGGUCUCUAGCAUAGUUGACUAAGUCAUGCGAACUCUUACAGUGGUAGACUAGCAGAUGUAGGGGAUGUAGGUGGUACGGUCUACCCAUCGUAAGGUGCUAGCGCUUCUGAAAGACUAUGUCUCGUUCAUCCGUCUUCUCAAACACCAUGUAGUGCAAGAAACCAAAUGGAGGCGAUCGAGUCUUGUGGGGAAAAGUGCGCAAACCUCUGCGGAGUGUAAUAAACUAAUCAUGGUUAUCCGUGUCCCCGGUUAUGGACAUCUUGAGUAUCUAGUACCUGGAUUUUCAUGUGAAUCUCAACAUGUUACUCUAAAUUAAUUUUGUUGGUUAUGCUUAAUUGGGAUUGAGAAUGAUGUCAACCAUUCUCAAUGUUUAACAACCACCAUGAUAUUAAUUAAAUUUUAUUCCUUUGAAGUAGGGAAAAAUUGGCUUUACGCAAAACUGUAACCAUAGAGCUUUCCACCAGCGAAAUAUGCAUAUAGUAUAGCCUUUUAUUUUCAUUGCUCUCUAUGUGUUACCUUGCGAGCAUAUUCCAUGUGCUGACCCGUUUCGGGCUACAACGUUAAUGUUGCAGACUUUUCAGACGAUGAUUAAGGAGUUUUUGGUCAUGGUUCUAUACUCAGUGAUGCCGUUGGAGUUGAUGGACUCACUUAUCUUCCAAGCCUUCCGCUGUUAUUGUUAUUAGAUGGCCUUAAGCCAUAUUUAUUGUAAUAAGUUCUCUUAUGAGACACUCGAUGUAAUAGGUGUGUGAUUGCUACUCUGCUAUAAAUCCUCCGAGUACUGUGUGGUGUCAGCAUUACUGAUCCAGGGAUGACACCGGAGCACAGAGAUCAGACCGUUUGAGGUCUGGUCGCUACAGGUCCUGUUCAUCCAGCCCCAAACGGCUCGAUCGACCGGGGUCAUGUGCAUCCAGAGGAAACACCACAUGGUAUUGUUCAUCCACCCCCACCGGGAACUGUUCAUCCAAACCCCCCAGCAACGCUCACUGUUCAUCCAGAGGCAGUAUCGAUCGGCUUCAGUUAGCAACCGUAGCGAAGGAAUUGCUCGAUCGGGUUCAGUUAACAGCCAUCGAUCGAUCGCUCGGGUUCAGUAACGCGUAGCCUGCAGUGCAAUCGCUCGGGUUCAGUAGGCGAAUGCCUCACUCGGGUUCAGUUAGAGCCCAACGCCUCGCACCCACGCGCGUGCGUGUACGAGAGAAACACGCAUCGCUCGGCCCUGACCACCCACCGUAACUGGGAACACCCUGAUAUUUUCCUCGCCCUCGGUUCUACCACGGUUUUUUUGUCAUGGGCGGCCCAAAGAAUGUCAUGCAGCUGCGUCUCCGGCCCGCCCAGGAUGAAAAGUCCAUUUUCUGUCAUGAGUUUUUGUCAUAGAAGUAGGAGCCCACCACAUCUAUGAUGAUACCAGGUUUUGUCACAAUUAUCAUCUUAGAAGUGUCAUAAGUACGACAGAAUUUUUUUCGUUCAGCCCAAAAUGCCACGGAUGUGUCUUUUUUUGUAGUGUUGUAUAUGGGGUGUUCAUGGCUAGUCGAAAGCUCAAGCAAUAUUUUCUGGGUCAUCCCAUCACUAUGGUUAGUUCUGCUCCUUUAGGGGAUAUUAUUCAAAACAGAGAAGCCAUAGUUCGGGUAGCCAAGUGGGCCACUGAGCUUGGACCCCAUGGUUUGAAGUAUAUGCCUCAUAUAGCCAUCAAGUCUCAAGCACUGGUGGAUUUCAUAAAUGAUUGGACAGAGCUGUAGAUGCCUGAGGAGAAACUGGAUAGCACAUAUUGGACUAUUCACUUCGAUGGAUCCAGGCAGUUGGAAGGCUCGGGGGCUGGAGUUAUAUUGACUUCCCCAUGAGGUGAUAAAUUUUGUUAUGUUUUAAGGUUGAUGUUCCCUUGUACUUACAAUGCAGUUGAGUAUGAGGCCUUACUCCAUGGUCUUCGGAUGACUAAAGAAAUAAACUUAAGCCGGGUGAGGUGUUUUGGUGACUCAGAUUUGGUAGCUCAGCAAGUUUUAGGCACUUGGGAUUCUAAGGACCCACUCAUGGCGGCUUAUCGCCGAGAGGUUGAUGCUAUUGCUGGUCAUUUCAAGGGCUAUCAAGUGGAGCAUGUUGAUCGAAGGAAAAACGAGGCGGCUGAUGCUUUAAGUCGGUUGGGAUCCCAACGUAAGCCGGUGCCACUCAAUAUUUUCCUUGAUAUUUUGCAUAAUCCUUCUGUCAAACUGCCUACAGAGGAAGAUCUUGCUAUUCCUGACCUGGAGGCACAGCUGGUGGCGGCUCUUCAUGCUAUUCCUGAUUGGACAGUUCCAUAUUUGGCGUAUAUGACCCGGGGUGAGUUACGUGAAGAUGAAACUUUGGCCAGGCAGAUAACCCAGCGGUCUAAGUCAAUGACUAUUAUCAAUGGAGAGUUGCAUCAUCGCAGUGUUAUAGGGGCGUUUCAAUGUUGUGUCUCUCCUGAAGAAGGUUGUGAGAUCCUAUGAGAGAUUCAUGAAGGAGAUUCUGAUCAUCAUCCAGCUCUAAGUCUCUCGUAGCCAAGGCUUUUCGUCAUGGAUUUUAUUGGCUGACGGCUCAUGCUGAUGCAGAGGAUUUGGUCAGUAAAUGUGAUGGUUGUUAGAAAUUCUCAAGACGAGCUCAUGUGCCGGCUCAAGAGUUGAGGAUGAUUCCAAUUACUUGGCCGUUUGCAGUCUCGGGGCUUGACAUGGUUGGACCUUUCAAAAGGUCCAAGGAUAAAAAGACCCACCUUUUGGUGGCGGUUGACAAAUUCACAAAGUGGGUUGAAGCAGAGCCGGUUAGUAAGUGUGACGCGGCCACAGCGGUACAAUUCAUUAGAAAGGUGAUCUUUCGUUUCGGUUUACCACACAACAUUAUAACAAAUAAUGGCACCAAUCUGUCCAAGGGUGUUAUGAAAGAGUUUUGCCAAUGAGAGCAUAUUUGACUUGAUGUGUCAUCAGUGGCUCACCCCCAGUCCAAUGGUCAAGCCGAGAGGGCCAAUCAAGAAAUUCUGAGAGGCAUCAAGCCCCGGCUUAUGGUCCGUUUGCAAAGGAUGUCGGGUUGUUGGGUGGAGGAGUUACCCUCAGUGUUAUGGAGCAUCAAUACCACCCCCAACAGAUCUAUGGGUUACACGCCUUUCUUCAUGGUUUACGGAGCAGAGGCCGUUCUCCCUAGUGGCAUCCAUCAUGAUUCGCCUCGUGUGGUGGCUUAUGUUGAAGCUGAUAAUGAAAAAGCACAUCAGGAUGCUAUUGACCUGUUGGAUGAGGAGUGUGACCUUGCGGCGGCUCGUUGGGCAAUUUACUAGCGAGAUCUGCGCCAUUAUCAUAGCCGUCGGGUUAAAACCAGGACCUUUCAAGAAGGCGAUUUGGUGCUCCGACUUAUCCAGGAUCAAACUGAUAUGCACAAACUAUCCCCACCCUGGGAAGGACCCUUUGUGGUCAGCAAAAAUCUGAAUAAUGGUCCAUACUACCUUAUCGAUGUUCGAGACCACAAGGACUCACGCACGUCGGAGGAGGAGACCCGCCGGCCGUGGAAUAUUGCUCAUCUUCGCCCUUAUUACACAUGAGCCACUGGCUCUUAUGAUGUAUAUAUUUUGACAAUGUAUAUAUAAUGAUGAAUAUAAUAAAGUCGACAUCGCUGCUAAGUCAGGGUCUCUGUCGUUUCAUUUCUGACAAUAAUGAGUCUUUAUUGUCACUUCAUACGGUCACUUGGGGGCUUCCUACUCAUUGAGCAUAGCUAUGACUACCCUCUUGAUCCGGCUUGUAUGCCAUGAUUACAAAAUACUUGGGGGCUUCCUGCUCAUUGAGCAUAGCUAUGACUACCCUGUUGAUCCGGCUUGUACGCCUGGAAUGAAACAUUACUUGGGGGCUCUUUGUUAAUUGACAAGAGCUUUAUUGACCCUUGUAAUAGGCUUGGACGACAGGUGUAUUCACCAGAAAAGUCGGGUUAUCUUGCCUUUGUAAGUUUGCCACUCCACCCAGGUAAUCCUGGAAUGACUCGUCGUACUCUUGACAGUCAAUCUUAUAAAGACCAUGAACUUGUCAAAGUUAAAACAGCGAUUGGUCAUGUGAGGCCCGGCUUACAAGGUUUGAAUGAAGGUUUAACUCAGCGGCUGUGCAGCCCUUGAAAAGCACUUGAUUUUUGAAGGCUUGGCAGCCUAUGAAAGCCUUGUUUUUUCUAUUUGAUUUGAACAUUUUUUGAGAUUCAUCUCUUGUGACAUGUUAAUACGUGAUUGAAAACCGAUGAGGGCUAUGUUGCCUUAUGGUUCUUGUCUGAAUUUAUCCAGAGUUUAUUAACCCAGCCUGGCUUUAGACUUUAAGUCAUCAGUAUAUGAUGAUUUUAUGUGCUUAGAGCAUCGUGCUCUAAGUUUUGGGAUAUUACCCCUUGCUGCAUGCGGUGUUGUAAGCCGGAAGUAUGAAUCAAUUGAAUAGGGCAUUAUGCUCUCAAUUUCUGGGUUGUAACCCUUACUGCACAGGUAUGAUAAGCCGGCAGCAUGAGCAAAUUCAAAGGUAUGAUUGUUAUGAUUAUAUGAGGUUGUGAUUAAAUCGGCCCUGGUUAUGGACUAUUAUAGUCACCAGUGGUUAUUAUAUGGGGUAUUGUGACCCUCCCUAGGGUAAACCACCAGGGCACUUGUGAUCUGUUUGGAUGCAGGAAAAAUGAUAAAUAUGAUCUGCAUAAUUCAUAAUAUCAUGAGCAUAAGGGGCGGAUCUUCAACGGACGGAUCGAUAGUGUUAUGCAAACAAAACAUGCAUGAAGGCACGUCAGAUCAGAGUUUAAAUAGCCUAUUACCUGGCUCCCCGAGCCAAAAUGAUUAAGUGUUUUUUCAAAGCAAUGCUUGAUGAUGAAAAUUGAGAACAGUCCUACGGAUCAGCUCUCCUAGUCUUGGCGGUUUGUGGCUUCUGGGUCAUCCCGUGUCGUUUCUUCUUCUCCCUCCACCGUCUACAAGUCAGGCGAUGACCAAUUGAUGCCAGUCAAGGCUUGAAAUUUAGCUUCGUCAUCAACAAGCUCAUACGGGUCAAUUUCAGUGGCAAAAGGGUGCUUACGGAUUGGAGGGAUAAGAUCUGCAAUCUUGUAAGCUGGCGUGGGCAUUUUCUGGUUCUCUGCGGUAUAAGUCGCUUGAUAUUUGGUCAGAUUUGUUUAUUCAACAAACAGGCUUGCCAAGGGACGCAUCUCCUUCACACACGCAGCAAAAUAUUUCUUAUCAAAAGUAGACCCGUCUUCUUUGAAACUAGGGCAGCCAGUGGCUAGCUCGGUCGGGUCUAAUCCUGACUGCCAUGCCUUUGCCUGGAUUAAAGUUGUAAUGGCACCGGCUCUAGCAGCUGACCGUUUGUUUUCUUCAAUACGGGCAGGCAAAACAGAAAGUUGGCUUAAAACGUUGCAGAGAAGAGAUGGAGCUUGAUUACUUGGGGAGAUGGUGGCUAUCGUACGCUGAGCUCUGGUGUAUAGUUGUUCUACUAAUGUAUAAACCGCCUUGAGCUUUAUCAAUAUCUUCUUCCCAAGAUCGCUACUUCUGGGACCUGCAUGGCAUAUGAUGAUUAAGUCACCUGACGGUUUAUAACCUGGAAGGUGGAAGGUUAUUACGAUAUAACAGGUCUUACCAAAGAUAUAAAAAGUCAUCUGAUUGAUGUGUUGCUUCAAGCCACUAAGUUCUGUGGUGACCUCUUUCAAUGAGGCCUCAGCCUUUUCAGCUCUCUUGAUCAGGGAAGCCUUCUCUUCAGUCCAGGCAUCUUUCUUAGUAUUAAACUCAGUUUUGAGUUUUUAAUUUUCAUCCAAGCUAAACUUGAACUGGGAGUCAGCCUUCCGGGUUUCAGAUUCUUGUGCUUCUAGCCAGGUUUUUAAAUCAGUCAGCUGAGACUGAAAUUGACUAGAUACUUCCUGAAAAGAGCAGGUUCAAACAAGUAUGCACAGUUAUGAAGCAGUAUAUAUUGAUAAGUCCCAAGCCCUUUGCAAGCAAUUGCACUUGGCACUUGGGGGCUAGUGCGUGCAAAAAGUUUCUUUAUACCACACUCUAUAUUGCUAAGUCCCAAACUCUUUGCAAGCAAUAGCACUUGGCACUUGGGGGCUAUUGCAUGCGCAUUUUUCUCUUAUAAUGUAAUGGCAGAUGGCCCCGGUUCAUACUUUUUCAAAAGUUAACCCGGUUUACAUGAGUGGAUCAAGAUUUGUUAUCUCACAAUGAUAAGGCCCAGUUUAAUCAUAUGGAUUCAACUGGCCCUUGGUGGCUACAGCUAGAAAAUUGAUCAUGAUUACUGAAGACCCGGUUUAACUUAACAAUUUAAGCUGGCCCUUGGGGGCUACAGGUGGAAAAUUGAUUAUUGAAAGCCCCGGUUUAUCUUGAUAAGUAUAAGCCAGCCCUUGGAAGCUACUGGUUUUGAUUCACAUGCGUACUCUACAGGCUAUCUAACAAGUCUAUAGUAUAUUAUAUUCUGUCAUAUUCAGUAGACUUGGGGGCUAAAGGAAUAUAGCUUAUGUAAAAGUGGGAAUUGGUACCUCAUGUUUCUGAUGCAUGUGCUUAACCAUGUGAAUCUCCAGAUCACGGCUGCUGCGUAUUUGAUUAAGAUAGCCGGAGAGGAUUUCGCUCAUACUCAUAUGAGAAUAGUUGGCCAUGUAAAAUUUGACCUUGCACCUUUCAACCAUUUCUUCCUUGGCAGAAUGCUUUGCUAGAGCAAUAGGAUUCCCCGGUUCUUGGAAACCAGUGCCAGUGAUCAGAACUUCCUCAGUGUAUGGUUCUGAAGGCUUGACUAGAAUCGGCGGUUCAGUGCCCAAAGGGUCAACAACGAUAUGGUCAGCAGAGGUACCACGAUUUUCUGGUGGGGGGUCAUCGGUAGGUUCCUCCGGUUGUUGCACGGAGGCCUCAAAAAUGGGUUCUUGCUUUUCUAGUUCAUAAGUCUUAGGAUCCUCUGUUGGCUUGUUUAUCUUAGCCUUUUUACUAGGCUUUGCUUUCCCACUGCAAAAGGGUUAAAAAGUCAGUAUGAGUUUAGCGAUUUUGAAAAGAUUAGAUAAAGUUGGUACCCAUGAGCAGUCUUGAAAGUCGAAAGUAGAGUCUGAGAUGAAUCACCAGAUGAAGAGUGAGAGUUCCCCUAGUAAUGUGAGUCAGGAUGACUAAGGGUUUGAUGAAUAAAAUCUGCCUGAGAAUAAAUAAGAGUGGAAAUUUCUGGAAGUACCUCAUUCCGGCGCUUGCGUGGGGCUGGCGUGUUGGGUAAGCCAGAGGAAAGUUCUCCACCUCCACUGGUCCGGGUUCUGCGCUGGUUCUCAUGCUGUUGUUGCUUCAAAAUAAAGUUGGGAUACAAGUGAGCUAAAGGGUUAGAAAAGCUUACUUUCCGGAUCACUCGUCGAAUUUUCUGGCUUGGCAAGGGCUCUGAGUCAGAGGAAAUAUUAGUUACCUCAUCAUCACCCACCUGGCUGGUUUCCGCGUCUUCUUGAUAGUAAUCAAUGUCAAUAAGAUGGAUGAAAAAAGAACCAAGGGAAUCAAGAUCUUCCUCCAACUCAUCAUCAUCUUCGUCUAAAUUGAACAGAUCGGAAGCAGUGGAUUUAUUCUUGUUUUUCUUCACGGCUUUGGUCUUAUCCCUAGCCCUCUUGGCGGCUUUUUCAUCAUACUUUUUAUCCCAAAAGGACGAUUUAGCCUGCAGUAAAUUACAGUAAAGGUUGAGGAUUUUCGGGUUCUAUGAACAAUGAAGUAAAGUAUAUAAACCGGACAGACUUACAUCCGGUGCCGGCUUGAGUGUGUAGAAGGGAUUUAACCCCACUUGGCUACAACUCUCCAAACUUUCGUUGAGAAGAGUCUUGGUCAUCUCAUUGAUAGCUUUGUCAGACAAACGCGUUGAACUGUAACGCAGUGAGUCUUUGGUGUCGCCGGUAUAUGUACACAUUAAACUGGACCAAUUGCUUAAAGGUAUGAUCCUCCAGGCUACCCAGCAUCGAACUAGAUCAACCCCGGUCAAUCCAUUGCCCAGUAGUGCUCUAACCUUUGAAAUGGUAGGCGCAAGUUUGGCCCGUUCAGUAGUGGUAAGCCGGUCAGGGAGAGGAUGCUUCGGGUUGAGCCAUUGGUCACGGAAGCCGGGCAUGGGGUUCUCAUCAGUAGGAGAAGUAUCUUUGCAAUAGAACCAAGUUUUAUUCCAAUCCUUGGGAUGGCUUGGAAGUUUAGCAUAAGGAAAAAUGGCAUCCCUGUGUCGUUGAAUUGAAAUCCCUCCAAGCUCCUGACUGGGCCCGUCAGUAAAUUCAUUUUGGCAGUUCAAGUAAAAGAACUCUUUGAAGAGCUCAACGCUAGGUUCCUCUUGAAGUUAUACUUCGCAGAAGACUUGGAAAUUGCAGAUAUUUGACAUGGAAUUGGGUCUGAUAUCUUGAGGAUGAAGUUGGAAAAAUGCAGGACGUCACGGAAGAGUUUUGAACCGGGCGGUGAGAAGUCCUGGUUCAUAUGAUCAGUGAAAAAAAUAAUUUCACCAUCUUGUGGUUGAGGUCUGACUUUGUUUGGCUUUGGAAUACGCCACGGAAUGAUGUUUUUUGCUGGUAAGAGGCCAAUUUUGACAUACUCCUGGAGCAUUGCCUCGGUAACAAUGGAUGAGACCCAGUCGCAUGAUGUGACGGUCUUAGUCAUGGUUGGGUGCACAGCCUACAUAAGGCGGUUCAAGAUGUUAUUAAAUCGGCAAAUAUUUGGCAACUUACCAAUUAUCGUUUAAAUCGCUAUGCAAGGUUAAUGGUUAUGGAGAUACAGUUCAAAUUAUGCAGUUGUUAAACUGGAAGGAUAUUGUAGAAUUAUUGACUAUGAGGUAAAUGAUGGUGGCUUAAACGAGGCCUAAUGAUAUAAGCUGUGCAGUUUUUGGUGAUUCAGAUCUAUCAAAUGAAAAAUUUGCUAAGUGGUGGACAAACAGAUUUCGCAAGCUGAAGUUAUAAUUUUGGAUAUAUGGCAAUUUAGAAAAGGCAGUAAAAUUCUAAACCUAAGGUGGCGAGAGUGGAAAGUGUGGAUGUUUUAAUGAGAUUUUCUAUGGGGAGAUGUUACUCUAAUAAUAAAAAGGAAUACUAAAACUACUUCCGCGCAAGGUUCGUAGCCUAUCCAGAUUAAAAGCCACUAGAGUUGGAAGAAACAGCGAUGAACAGCAAGGACGCCGCUGAACUAUCCAAACCCUAAAUGCAGAUCUGAGAUGGAAAGAAAGGUGCACUUACAGAAGAUGAGGAGCAGCGGUGGCGCGUUGGAGUUUCCGAUCCAAUCAGGUCGAUGCAGCGGCCUGGGUCUGUGCAGCGGUCGAAGGUCACGACAGCGGAGCUUGAGCGAUAGAAGAGACGUGAGGAAGACAAAGUAAGGGGCGAAAAUGAUAAAGACGUCUAUCCCUAUUUAUAAGGGGGCGGAUACAAGGCAUGCACGGGAAAUCGAGGAGGCCAAAACCAUCAUGUGGCCAUAUGGACGCCUUGAUUUUCGAGGUGGUUAUUAAGAUAAGGAUCAUUUAAGAUGUUCUGAACCGCGUACAAAAUUAAUGUGAAGUGACGUCAUGGUGGUUUAAAAAGAUUCUGUGAGCUGACGUCAUGGCGGGUUAUAGCAAGAUUUCUCAAUAAGUGGUGCAAACAUUUUUACAAGACUAGUAUUGAAGAUUGACAUGAACAAGUUCAAGUCAACCUGGGGCCUAAUGUUGGGGAUAUGACUAUCCGGUAUGAACCGCCCAGGAGAGGCCGGGUCAUACCCCUGGCGGCUUAGCUAUGAAGAUGGUGGAUCAUACGAGCCUGUUAGCGGCCCAAGACCCAAUGGCGACUUGAGGCCCAAGAGGAUGAACUGCCAUGUAUGUAUAACUUGUAUUAUAAGGUAAGUGUAUUCAGUCACCGGGCCGGACACGUUGUGUAUGAGCUGGCCGGGACUCUGUAGGCCGCCAGGCGUCAACCUGUGUAUAUAAAGGGAUGACCCGGUGGCGGCUUAAGAAAAGAAACAAGAGCUUGAGAACCAGGUCAAGCGUAUUCGCUUCCUAGUGAUCGAAACCCAAACAAUACAAUCCCAAACUGGAGUAGGCCUUUACCUUCACCGCAAGGGGCCGAACCAGUUGUGAUGGCUCCACAACUAAGUCCUUCUGUUAGGACAUCUGUCGUGACAAUUCCACGACAGGUAAUGAGGUACUUCCUCAUGUCAACGAUCCGCCUGUGCAUCUCGUAGCAUGUGUACAUUCUCUUGGUCGCGAACCUGAGGUGAGGUUCAUCCAGUUGCCGCAUCCAGGGCCCGUGCUAGGAUACGGGAGUUGUUCUCUAGGCAUCCUAUUUCAUCUUUUCGUAGUAGGGGUCGAUGAUGGCCGAGGCGAGUUCAACCAAGGAGUCCUUCUUCGUGCUACCCCAGACCCUGUAGUGGUCAUGGAUUUUGACAAGGUUCUUGCAGGCCAAGCCCAUAACCCUGAGUGCUUUUACAUCGUCGAUGGUUUCCACCGUGGCGAACUUGUAGUCAGUGCUGUUGACAAACCUGUUGAAAUGGUCGCAAGGCUCUGUGGCCAUCCAGUAGUGGUAGUUGAGGACAUGAUGGCGCACACACAACUUGGCAACAGCAACCUUCUGAUCUAUGUCGGGAUGACCGGCAGUGUACUGGAGGUCGAUGCCGACCACCUUGUACUUGUCUCGAGAAAGCAACUACUCAACAAUGUUGAUGGAGUCGUCCACCACGGCCGUGUCAAUGGUGUACACCACCGAGAGAUACGUCUUCCUCGCGUGGGUCUCCACUUUAUGCUCACCGAAGUCGAUUGGAGCACUGCUAGACAUCCCCUCUCUAUGUGUCAUCAUGGGUGUGCUUGUUGUCUUGUGAGACGCGGUCGAAAGGUUGAAGAGACUAAGGUUAUAAUGGCUGUGAUAAUUAAAGGGGAAGCCGAACGGCCAGGAAUAUCGGCAGGCCCUGAUGGCAGUUCUAAUUUGCAGCGCGUAACUCCAUCAUGCCACACGUAACUGCAUCGCGUGGCAACGCGCGCAGUGCAACCACAUGCAUAUGGGGCCCCAACGUGAUUGUGUGCAUGCCCAAACGCUGGCAGAGCACGCGCGGAGGGACGCGAGCAACAUAUAUAUAUAGCAAUUGAACACGCAAGGAAAAGCUUUCGACAAGCCGAGUGCGCCGACAGACGCGAGCAGAGCGUGCCAACGGAUGCGAGCAGAGCGCGCCGCGGCGCCUAACGGCAAGUAUAGCACGCUAUGGCGCCUAACAGCGAGCACAUUGAUACGUGGAAAAUAAGAUGAAUUGUGAGAGCGAUGUCGGAGACAUCAAGCACGAAUCAGAUUAGAGUUGCGUGUGCGAUACGUGGCAUAUAGUUGAUCCAUCUGAGCUGUUCGUGAUGGAAUAUGCCGUGUGUGUUGCGGGAAAACGCUUGCUUGUAUAUAACCUUAAAUUUAAGCAAAAAAGUGUUAAUGCAUGUUACAAAAAUAGCAUAACUAGAAACUAUGUUCAAAUACGAAUCCAACGAUAUAAUCUUUGGCGACAUGCAUUCGUAUUUUAUUAGUUAAAUCCUACUUAUAAACCAGUACGGGGUAUAGUAGGUAAUUAAAUCGCAAACGUUUUUUCGUAUUAACCAUAUGUGUACGUGUCCUUUCGUCCUCCUCUCGCACGUCUUGUUACCCGCUGCCGCAGACGGCUUACAACGCAAGCUUGCGCAACACGCGAGGGCGUUCUUUUGGCCAAACGGUGGCGCCAAUUGUGAGCCCGUCCCCGCGCAACCUCGCAGCUUCGCACCCAAGAUUCCCGUCCGACUCGGUGAAAUCCCCCCAAAUCCCAAUGCUUACUGGCCUGCUAUAUAAACCCUCACGACCAGCAAGUCAUGCGUCGCAUUUUCCCCUCCCUCCCUGUAGCUUAUCUCGUCUUCUUCUCCCACAAUCGCCAAUGGCACCAGUCCGUCGUUGUUGCUCAGCCACUCCGCCGUCAUCAGAGGACAGCUCUAGCUGGGAGGCUACACCGCGGAGGCGGCGCAGUCCCCGGUGUAGUGUAGUGCGUGUGGCGUCCCUGUUGGGUGUGCACGGAACACCCACCACAUGCUCCGCCGCCACUGCCCAUCGACAGCUAUUAUCGGCCGCCGUUGCCGCCACACCACGUAGAAAGCCAGGGCCAUCGCCCGUUCCGCCGCCGCGGCCCGAAGGCGGGAUGUGGCCGUCAUGGCCGCCUCCCCACUGCCAGCGAUCACCCGUUCCACCACCGCGGCCCGAAGGCGGGAGGUGGCCGUCAUGUCCGCCAUCCCAUCGUCGUCCGCCAGCUCAUCGUCGACCACCGGGAUCAUCACCCGCUCCACCACCGCUGUCCAAAGGAGGAAGGCGGAGGUUGAGGCCCGCACAUGCGUCAGCGACGUUGCGCGCUACAUCGAGUUCGUGCAGGAGGAGGAGGAGCGCCUCGUCGAGCAUGCAAAGAGCCUUACCACAAUCGUGGCCGCCACACGCUGACGCAGAGGCGAGGAAUCAGGAGAUCUACGAGCAGUUCAGCUGCUUCGAGAGGGGUCGUCUGGAGCGGCAGUGGGCAUUCGAGUUGGCGAGCAUCGCUGAAUGUGCAGCAGCGGCAGUCACCGUAUUGCAGUUUUCCAGCUCGUCAGUAGGCUCCUCCUCCUCUGCCUCUUACUAAGCGCGCUCAGCAAAGGAGAGGCUACCGGAAGUAGCACAAAGCCCCUCCGUAGUAGUAGUAUUUAGGGGCUAGUUUGUUCAGUUACUUGACUAUAGAUGUGGUGGAACAGUACAACGUACUUAAAAUUAGCUAGUAUAUAUAGUUGAACUAGCUAUUUCAGUACGUGGUCGGCAACAGUUGGGGAAAAGUUUGGUUUGUUAAGCUAUCGAGUUGAACUGUUUGUAUAAAUUAAGAACGACUGCUUAAUCUAUGAAUGAAAUCUAUGAUUAAUUACUGAAUUUUAGUUGCAAAAAUUAGAUAAUUCUAGUGAUUUUUAGCCGCAUAUUUUGACAAAAUCGCAGUGUUACAAGGAUUGACAAAUGGCAAUGUUACUAGAUCACCAAAUGUCAAUCUUUCCGACUUGACAAAUGGCAACAUACCUGAUACGCCUCCAACGUAUCUAUAAUUUUUGAUUGCUCCAUGCUAUAUUAUCUACAGUUUUGGACAAUAUUGGGCUUUAUUAUCCACUUUUAUAUUAUUUUUGGGACUAACCUAUUAACCGGAGGCCUAGCCCAGAAUUGUUGUUUUUUGCCUGUUUUAGGGUUUCGAAGAAAAGGAAUAUCAAACGGAGUCCAAACGGAAUGAAACCUUCGGGAACGUGAUUUUCUCAACGAACAAGACUCGGGAGACUUGGACCCUCCGUCAAGAAAGAAAAGAGGAGGCCACGAGGUAGGGGGCGCGCCUGCCUAUCCCAGGCGCGCCCUCCACCCUCGUGGGCCCCAUGUUGCUCCACCGACGUACUCCCUCCUCCUAUAUAUAUCCACGUACCCCCAAACGAUCAAAAACAGAGCCAAAACCCUAAUUCCACCGCCAUAACUUUCUGUAUCCACGAGAUCUCAUCUUGGGGCCUGUUCCGGAGCUCCACCAGAGGGGGCAUCGAUCACGGAGGGCUUCUACAUCAACACCAUAGCCCCUCCGAUGAAGUGUGAGUAGUUUACCUCAGACCUACGGGUCCAUAGUUAGUAGCUAGAUGGCUUCUUCUCUCUUUUUGGAUCUCAAUACAAUGUUCUCCCCCUCUCUUGUGGAGAACUAUUCGAUGUAAUCUUCUUUUUGCGGUGUGUUUGUUGAGAUCGAUGAAUUGUGGGUUUAUGAUCAAGUCUAUCUAUGAAAAAUAUUUGAAUCUUCUCUGAAUUCUUUUAUGUAUGAUUAGUUAUCUUUGCAAGUCACUUCGAAUUAUCAGUUUGGUUUGGCCUACUAGAUUGAUCUUUCUUGCAAUGGGAGACGUGCUUAGCUUUGGGUUCAAUCUUGCGGUGUCCUUUCCCAGUGAUAGUAGGGGCAUCAAGGCACGUAUUGUAUUGUUGCCAUCGAAGAUAACAAGAUGGGGUUUUCUUCAUAUUGCAUGAGUCUAUCCCUCUACAUCAUGUCAUCUUGCUUAAGGUGUUACUCUGUUUUUAACUUAAUACUCUAGAUGCAUGCUGGAUAGCGGUCGGUGAGUAGAGUAAUAGUAGUAGAUGCAGGCAGGAGUCGGUCUACUUCUCUCGGACGUGAUGCCUAUAUACAUGAUCAUACCUAGAUAUUCUCAUAACUAUGCUCAAUUCUGUCAAUUGCUCAACAGUAAUUUGUUCACCCACUGUAGAAUACUUAUGCUCUCGAGAGAAGCCACUAGUGAAACCUAUGGCCCCCAGGUCUAUCUUUAUCAUAUUGAUCUCCUAUUACUUAGUUAUUUCCUUUGCUAUUUACUUUGCCUUUAUUUUACGUUGCAUCUUUUAUCACAAAAAUACCAAAAAUAUGAUCUUAUCAUAUCUAUCAGAUCUCACUCUCGUAAGUGGCCUUAUAGGGAUAGACAACCCCUAUUUGCGUUGGUUGCGAGGAUUUAUUUGUUUUGUGCAGGUACGAGGGACUCACGCGUAGCCUCCUACUGGAUUGAUACCUUGGUUCUCAAAAACUGAGGGAAAUACUUACGCUACUUUGCUGCAUCAUCCCUUCCUCUUUGGGGAAAACCAACGCAGUGCUCAAGAGGUAGCAAGAAGGAUUUCUCGUGCCGUUGGCGGGGAGGUCUAUGCAAAAGUCAACAUACCAAGUACCCAUCACAUACCCUUACCUCCUGCAUUACAUUAUUUUCCAUUUGCCUCUCGUUUUCCUCUCCCCCACUUCACCCUUGUCGUUUUAUUUGCCCUCUCUCUUUCUCUAUUUGCCUCUUUUUGCCCGCUUGCUUUUUGUUUGCUUGUGUGUUAGUUUGCUUGCUUGUCACGAUGGCUCUAACUAAAUUUGGUGACCUUCACCUUAAAAGAUUAGAAGAGAUCGAAAGCAAUGUCAGGAGUUUCAUGGUCUUGCAAUUUAAACAUAAUAGUUUCUUCAGAAACGAGCUUAAAGAACAGAAAAGUUUUAUGAGUUUUAUGAAUAAAUAGCUUGAUGAUAUGUCUAAAGAAUUCGAUGGUUUAAGAUCCCAAAUUGCUCAUCUUGAGAAAUUAACUACUGAAAUUUGGGAUAUGCAGGCUACCUUAGUUAAUAAGAUGGCCGCUACACCGGAUUGCUAUGAAAAUAAAGAUGAAGAUCUAAAUGUUAUUGAUGUGUCCCCUAUUAAAUCUUUGUUUUGUAAUAUGAAUCUUGAUAAUGAUGGGACUGAAUAUGAUCCACCUUUACCUAGAAGGUGUUCUAAGAAUUCAUAAUUUGUUUAUCUUGAUGCUAAAUUUGAUAAAAGUGGGAUUGAAGAAAUUAAAACCCUAUAUGUUGCUAAACCCACUAUUAUGGAUUUCAAGUAAUUUAACUAUGAAAAUUGCUCUUUGAUUGAUUGUAUUUCCUUGUUGCAAUCCGUGCUAAAUUCUCCUCACGCUUAUAGUCAAAAUAAAGCGUUUACUAAACAUAUCGUUGAUGCCUUGAUGCAAUCUUAUGAAGAAAAACUUGAAUUGGAAGUUUCUAUCCCUAGAAAACUUUAUGAUGAGUGGGAAACAACUAUUAAAAUUAAAAUUAAAGAUCAUGAAUGCUAUGCUAUAUGUGAUUUGGGUGCUAGUGUUUCCACGAUUCCAAAGACUUUGUGUGAUUUGUUAGGUUUCCGUGAUUUUGAUGAUUACUCUCUAAACUUGCACCUUGCGGAUUCCACUAUUAAGAAACCUAUGGGAAGAAUUAAUGAUUUUCUUAUUGUUCCAAAUAGGAAUUAUGUGCCCGUAGAUUUUAUUGUUCUUGACAUAGAUUGCAAUCCUUCAUGUCCCAUUAUUCUUGGUAGACCUUUCCUUAGAACGAUUGGUGCAAUUAUUGAUAUGAAGGAAGGAAAUAUUAGAUUCCAAUUUCCAAUAAGGAAAGGCAUGGAACACUUUCAGAGAAAGAAAAUUAAAUUACCUUAUGAAUCUAUUAUGAGAGCCACUUAUGGAUUGCCUACCAAAGAUGGCAAUACCUAGAUCUAUUCUUGCUUGUUAUGCCUAGCUAGGGGCGUUAAACGAUAGCGCUUGUUGGGAGGCAAACCAAUUUUAUUUUUAUUCCUUGCUUUUUGCUCAUGUUUAGUAAUAAAUAAUUUAUCUAGUCUCUGUUUUGGUUGUGUUUUUGUGUUUAAUUAGUGUUUGUGCCAAGUAGAACCGUUGGGAAGACCUGGGGAAAGUCUUGUUGAACUUGCUGUAAAAAACAGAAACUUUAGCGCUCACGAGAACUGCUGUCAUUUUUAUUUGGAAAGUGAUACUUAGUUAAUUAUUUUUGAAGAUGAUUAAUAGAUAAAUUACUCACGUCCAGAAAUUUAUUUUAGAAUUUUUGGGGUUCCAGAUUUUGCGCUAGCUACAGAUUACUACAGACUGUUCUGUUUUUGACAGAUUUUAUUUUUCGUGUGUUGUUUGCUUAUUUUGAUGAAUCUAUGGCUAGUAAAAUAGUUUAUAAACCAUAGAGAAGUUGGAAUACAGUAGGUAUAACACCAAUAUUAAUAAAUAAUGAGUUCAUUACAGUACCUUGAAGUGGUCUUUUAUUUUCUUUCGCUAAUGGAGCUCACAAGAUUUUCUACUUUAAGUUUUAUGUUGUGAAGUUUUCAUGUUUUGGGUAAAGAUUUGAUGGAUUAUGGAACAAGGAGUGGCAAGAGCCUAAGCUUGGGGAUGUCCAUGUAACCCCCAAGAUAAUCUAAGGACACCUAAAAGCCAAAGCUUGGGGAUGCCCCGGAAGGCAUCCCCUCUUUCUUCUACUUCUAUCGGUAACUUUACUUGGAGCUAUAUUUUUAUUCGCCACAUGAUAUGUGUUUUGCUUGGAGUGUCUUGUAUUAUUUGAGUCUUUGCUUUUUAGUUUACCACAAUCAUCCUUGCUGUACACACCUUUUGAGAGAGCUAUACAUGUUUUGGAAUUUGUUAGAAUACUCUAUGUGCUUUGCUUAUAUCUUUUGAGUUAUAUAAUUUUGCUCUAGUACUUCACUUAUAUCUUUUAGAGCACGGUGGUGGAUUUGUUUUAUAGAAACUAUUGAUCUCUCAUGCUUCACUUAGAUUAUUUUGAGAGUCUUAAUAGCAUGGUAAUUUGCUUAAAAUCCUAAUAUGCUAGGUAUUCAAAGUUAGUAAAAUUUUCUUAAGGGUGUUUUGAAUACUAAGAGAAGUUUGAUGCUUGAUGAUUGUUUUGAGAUAUGGAGGUAAUAAUAUCAAAGUCGUGCUAGUUGAGUAGUUGUGAAAUUGAGAAAUGCUUGUGUUGAAGUUUGCAAGUCCCAUAGCAUGCACGUAUGGUAAACGUUAUGCAACAAAUUUGAAACAUGAGGUGUUAUUUGAUUGUCUUCCUUAUGAGUGGCGGUCGGGGACGAGCGAUGGUCUUUUCCUACCAAUCUAUCCCCCUAGGAGCAUGCGCGUAGUACCGAGGUUUUUGAUGACUUGUAGAUUUUUGCAAAAAGUAUGUGAGUUCUUUAUCACUAAUGUUGAGUCCAUGGAUUAUACACACUCUCACGCUUCCAUCCUUUUUAGCCUCUUCGGUACCGUGCAUUGCCCUUUCUCACAUUGAGAGUUGGCGCAAACUUCGCGGUGCAUCCAAACCCCGUGAUAUGAUACGCUCUUUCACACAUAAACCUCCUUAUAUCUUCCUCAAAACAGCCACCAUACCUACCUAUUAUGGCAUUUCCAUAGCCAUUCCGAGAUAUAUUGCCAUGCAACUUUCCAUCAUUCUGUUCAUCAUGACACAUUCAUUAUUGUCAUAUUGCUUAGCAUGAUCAUGUAGUUGACAUAGUAUUUGUGGAAAAGCCACCGUUCAUAAUUCUUUCAUACAUGUCACUCUUGGUCCAUUGCAUAUCCCGGUACACCGCCGGAGGCAUUCAUAUAGAGUCAUCUUUGUUCUAGUAUCGAGUUGUAAUCAUUGAGUUGUAAAUAAAUAGAAGUGUGAUGAUCAUCAUUUUCUAGAGCAUUGUCCCAAGUGAGGAAUAAAUAAAUAAAGGAAAGAGAAAGGCCAUAAAAAAGAGAAAAAUGAGAGAAAAUGAGAGAAUGGACAAUGUUACUAUCAUUUGCCACACUUGUGCUUCAAAGUAGCACCGUAAUCUUCAUGAUAGAGAGUCUCUUGUUUUGUCACUUUCAUAUACUAGUGGGAUUUCAUUAUAGAACUUGGCUUGUAUAUUCCAACAAUGGGCCUCCUCAGGUGCCCUAGGUCUUCAUGCGCAAGCAAGUUGGAUGCGCACCCACUAGUUUCUUUUGUUGAGCUUUCAUACAUUUAUAGCUCUAGUGCAUCCGUUGCAUGGCAAUCCCUACUCCUUGCAUUAACAUCAAUCGGUGGGCAUCUCCAUAGCCCAUUGAUUAGCCUCGUUGAUGUGAGACUUUCUCCUUUUUUGUCUUCUCCACAUAACCCCCCUCAUUAUAUUCUAUUCCACCUAUAGUGCUAUGUCCAUGGCUCGCGCUCAUAUAUUGCGUGAAAGUUUAUAGGUUUGAGAUUACUAAAGUAUGAAACAAUUGCUUGGAUUGUCAUCGGGGUUGUGCAUGAUGAGAGCAUUCUUGUGUGAUGAAAAUGAAAUAUGACUAAACUAUAUGAUUUUGUAGGGAUGAACUUUCUUUGGCCAUGUUAUUUUGAGAAGACAUAAUUGCUUAGUUAGUAUGCUUGAAGUAUUAUUAUUUUUAUGUCAAUAUGAAUUUUUGUCUUGAAUCUUUCAGAUCUGAAUAUUCAUACCACAAUUAAGAAGAAUUACAUUAAAAUUAUGCCAAGUAGCACUCUGCAUCAAAAAUUCUGUUUUUAUCAUUUACCUACUCGAGGACAAGCAGGAAUUAAGCUUGGGGAUGCUUGAUAGGUCUCCAAUGUAUCUAUAAUUUUUAAUUGCUCCAUGCUAUAUUAUCUAUUGUUUUGGACAAUAUUGGGAUUUAUUAUCCACUUUUAUUUUAUUUUUGGGACUAGCCUAUUAACCGGAGGCCCAGCCCAGAAUUGAUGUUUUUGCCUGUUUUAGGGUUUCGAAGAAAAGGAAUAUCAAACGGAGUCCAAACGGAAUGAAACCUUCGGGAACGUGAUUUUCUCAACGAACAAGACCCGGGAGACUUGGACCCUACGUCAAGAAAGAAAAGAGGAGGCCACGAGGUAGGGGGCGCGCCUGCCUACCCCAGGCAUGCCCUCCACCCUUGUGGGCCCCCUAUUGCUCCACCGACGUACUCCUUCCUCCUAUAUAUAUCCACGUACCCCCAAACGAUCAAAAACGGAUCCAAAACCUUAAUUCCACCACCGUAACUUUCUGUAUCCACGAGAUCCCAUCUUGGGGCCUGUUUCGGAGCUCCAUCGAAGGGGGCAUCGAUCACGGAGGGCUUCUAAAUCAACACCAUAGCCCCUCCGAUGAAGUGUGAGUAGUUUAGCUUAGACCUAUGGGACCAUAGUUAGUAGCUAGAUGGCUUCUUCUCUCUUUUUGGAUCUCAAUAAAAUGUUCUCCCCCUCUCUUGUGGAGAACUAUUUGAUGUAAUCUUCUUUUUGCGGUGUGUUUGUUGAGACUGAUGAAUUGUGGGUUUAUGAUCAAGUCUAUCUAUGAACAAUAAUUUAAUCUUCUCUGAAUUCUUUUAUGUUUGAUUGGUUAUCUUUGCAAGUCUCUUCGAAUUAUCAGUUUAGUUUGGCCUACUAGAUUGAUCUUUCUUGCAAUGGGAGAAGUGCUUUGGGUUCAAUCUUGCGGUGUCCUUUCCUAGUGACAGUAGGGGCAGUAAGGCACGUAUUGUAUUGUUGCCAUCGAAGAUAACAAGAUGGGGUUUUCUUCAUAUUGCAUGAGUCUAUCCCUCUACAUCAUGUCAUCUUGCUUAAGGCGUUACUCUGUUUUUAACUUAAUACUCUAGAUGCAAGCUGGAUAGCAGUCGAUGAGUGGAGUAAUAGUAGUAGAUGCAGGCAGGAGUCGGUCUACUUGUCUCGGACGUGAUGCCUAUAUACAUGAUCAUAUCUAGAUAUUCUCAUAACUAUGCUCAAUUCUGUCAAUUGCUCAACAAUAAUUUGUUCACCCACCGUAGAAUACUUAUGCUCUCGAGAGAAGCCACUAGUGAAACCUAUGGCCCCCGGGUCUAUCUUUAUCAUAUUGAUCUCCUAUUACUUAGGUAUUUCCUUUGCUAUUUACUUUUCCUUUAUUUUACAUUGCAUCUUUUAUCACAAAAAUACCAAAAAAUAUUAUCUUAUCAUAUCUAUCAGAUCUCACUCUCGUAAGUGGCCUUAUAGGGAUUGACAACCCCUAUUUGCGUUGGUUGUGAGGAUUUAUUUGUUUUGUGCAGGUACGAGGGACUCGCGCGUAGCCUCCUACUAGAUUGAUACCUUGGUUCUCAAAACUGAGGGAAAUACUUACGCUACCUUGCUGCAUCAUCCCUUCCUUUUCGGGGAAAACCAAUGCAGUGCUCAAGAGGUAGCAAUACCCAAUAUAACAGAUGCAAAUCUUACCAAAUUGUUUGUACAUGGUUGCACACUGGUCAUCCAAAACAACCGUUUGCGUUGAAGGGAUGCACAAAUCCUGUUCUACGAAUUUUGCCUCGACUUAAGGGGGAAGACCAUAGCUCUCACUUUGCAUACGGGUGUUCUAUCUAAAACGUUUGCAAUCAAGAGCUUCACAAAUCCUGCUCGGCACAUUUUCCCUUGGCUUCCUAGGGAAGUUGUCGGUUUGCGUACGGGUGUUCUAACUAAAACGUUUGCGAUGAGUGUUUAUAUUUAAAAACCGUAUUAAGCUAUGGCUUGGGCGCCAUUAAUGGAGAGGAUGCGAGCAAGGAGGGCGGCCAUGGAAGUCAAAGGGCUCGCUUCCCGGUGAGCCUGCGCGGCGUAUAGCUCGCACGCUUCCCAGUGAGCCUCCGCAUUGGAGUACAGCUCGCACGCCUCCCGUUUAAUGAAGCACUCAAGCACCUAUCCGCACGGCACCUCCUAGCCAUUAAAAGAGUGAGGCGUGGCGUCAUGUGGAUGGUCAACAAAAUGGACACAAUUUAAAUUAUACAAAAUGGUUGAGAUGUUAUAGUGGCAGCUAUUUUUUAAAAUGCCUUUGUUGGAUGUUAUUUGAGUGCACCACACAAAAAAAUAUCAUAGCAUGUCAGGUGCCAUUCCAUGAUAGCAUGUCAAUUUUCAUGAAUUUCAGACGAGUUUUGGAUUUAGUAGAAUUCAAAAACAAAGUAUCUCAAUGUUUUGUCGGCAAUCAACGGUGCACUGGUGUUUGAAAUUCAUUCCCAUUUCUUGCAUGGGACCUAAGCAUGCACCGAAGGACACAGAUUUGAUUUUUCAACCAAUUUAUAUGCACUGGAUCAUGUGCAUGUAGUUCAAAUUUGAAUUAUGCACAUAAAAUGCCUAGAAAACCCAGUUAAUGUAUAAAAAUGUCCAAACGAACCCUAAAAAAUUCCAAAAUUAAACACAACACUCCUGUUGUUCUAUGUUGACACUAGAAAAUUUUUGAAAGCAAUAAGAGGCAAUGGAUAUCGUUUCGUCCCCAAAGGUGGCACGUUCCCUACAGAAACCAUCAUGCUUGUUGUAAGAAGCUCUGGUUUGUAUGAAGCUUAUACACAAACCUGCCACAAAUGGGACAAAUUUUUUACCACAGCAUGUUGAUGCCGCUCCAUGAUAGCACGCCAAGUUUCAUGAAUUUCAGACGAGUUUUGGAUUUACUAGAAUUUAAAAACAAAGUAUCUGAACAUUUUGUCGGCAAUCAACAGUGUCCUGGUGUUUGCAAUUCAUUCCCAUUUCUUGCAUGGGACCUAAGCAUGCACCGAAGGACACAUAUUUCAUUUUUCAACCAAUUUAUAUGCACUGGAGCAUGUGCAUGUAGUUCAAAUUUGAAUUAUGCACCUGAAAUGCCUAGAAAACCUAGUUAAUGUAUAAAAAACGUUCAAACGAACCAUAAAUCAUUCCAAUUUUUUUGACGACACACCUAUAGUUGCAUGUUCACUACAGAUAAAAGUUCUAGAAAUUCAAACACCAUCCUAUUCAGUGGUGACCCCAUUAUGUAAUUUAAAUCAAGAUGAGAAACCAAGUAGAUCGCACAUAGUUUAUUAUCACCAACCGUGUGUGAUGCAGCACAAAAUAUCUUGGAGCACCGUCCGAGUGUCAAGCACACUAGCCCACUCCUCAAAUAUCAUUUCACUGUUCAAUCAUCACCGGUGAAAUAUGGGGACGUGGACCCGCGUCGUGAGGGCAACUUCGGCGGCCCACUCCGGCAAGAGCGCGGCCACAGCCGCCAGGCGCGUGCUAACAAGCUUCGUGAGGGCGACCGCAAUCUGCGUCCUGGCGACCAAGGCAGCCCAAACUGCCGCUAUUGCUUCUUAGGCGGCGGCAACAACAUCUUCCUCGGGGAUAGCAACUGGCGAGAGUGGCACAGUAGCUGUUCGUUCCGUAGCGGCAGCCUAAGCAUUGAUGGAGGCCAUCCACGACCAUGUCGAGGCCGUCCACGCCUAGCUCAUGGCGGUCACCACACAAAUCGAAUGAAGCUUCUCCGACAACGGUCAGCAACCCACGGCGGAAGAGCCCGCCAAAACCCAGAUCGCGGCUGCCCACGCCCAGCUCAUGGCGGCCUAUUGCAAAGAUAUGGCGGACACAGAUGGCGAGAUGCUUGCCGAGUAUGGUGCGAUUGAUGCCAUGGAGCCCCUUCCCCAGGAGACCGUCGGGUGCGAGCUGGACAUGGAGGCGGCGGUGGAGAUCGACGAGCACCAGUUGUAGUAGUACUCUUUGUUUUGUUUAAUUAAUAGCGCCGGUCUUUAAUUUGUUAGAGUAAUGUUUAGGCCAGCUAGCUCUGUUUAAUUGUUGAACUUGCUUGAUUAAUAAGUGUGGGUGUGUUGUAGUCUCCUUUGUGUGCCCAAAUUAUGCAAUGACGUGGAUGACCACUGUAACUAGGGAAAUUCGAACCAAAAUUUUUGAUGUUCAAACUCAUCACACACGGGUUAAGCUAUCUGAAUUGUUUGUGAUGUUCACAUAUCGUACACAGUUCUGAAUAAGGGACCAUGUCUGAUGACACUUUGCGCGCCAGUUUUUUUCGCUGAAGCGAUUCCAAAUUUUCGGUUUCCACAGAAAUAUCUACCUCCCCGCUCCCUCCCCCUUACCAAAAGCCACAUUUCCCAUGUUUCCGCCUUCCUUUCCAAGUUGAAACGUUCACUCCUUGCUUGCAACGCCGCCUCCUCGCCGGCGAACCUCCUUCAUGCUGCUCGGCCUCGUCUAUCCAGGCAGGUAAUCCACACCUGACCCCCAUUCUCCUCCUCUUUCCACAUCCCACAUGCCCCGACCGCCGGAACGACACCUUCCACCCAAAUCACUGACCCCUCCACCAAAUAAGCGCCGCCCUAAGCCAUGGUGCGCACAGUAUAGCCAGGAUCUCAAGGAGCAUUUGGCAGCGGAGAAGCAAAUCGCGGCCGCAUGCGCGGAUGAGGUCGUGAUGGCUGUCAUUCGUGUCGACCCCCAGAUCUUGGAGGAGCACCUCGCCAUCGAGGUUACCAUCGACGCCUCGCGCGCCGACAACGCGACGCGGUUGGCUGUUUGGUUCAAUUCUGCAAUGCGAUGUUCAAUUGUUGUGGGUGCAUUCUGUUAUUGUAUACCAUGUGAGAAAUAAAUCGAAUUUGGCUGUACUAAAUACAUGAGAAACAAAUACAAUUGUUAUAUUUCCAAGUUGUUAAGCAUGCUUGGUUGUGUUAACUAUCUGAUCUUCUAUUAGAAGUAUGUUAUAUUGUGUAAUGUGGUGCUCAGUUAACAUUUGGUUCAUUUGUUGUGGUGUUUAGUUAACUGUUUGGUUCAAUUCUGCAAUGUGAGGUUCAAUUAUUGUGGGUGCAUUCUGAUAUUGUAUACCAUGUGAGGAACAAAUUGGAUUUGGUUGUACUAAAUACACGAGAAACAAAUACAAUUGCUAUAUUUCCAAGUUGUUAAGCAUGCUUGGUUUGGUUAACUGUCUGAUCUUCUAUUAAGAGUAUGUUAUAUUGUGCAAUGUGGUGCCCAGUUAAUGUUGGUUCAUUUGUUGUGGUGUUUAGUUAACUGCUUGGUUCAAUUCUGCAAUGCGAUAUCUAAUUGUCAUGGGUAGAAUAUUGUAUUGUUGUGCAUGUGAGGAAUAAAUCGAAUUUGGCUGCACUUAAUACAUGAGAAACAUAUACAAGUGUUGUAUUUCCUAGUUCUUAAUCAUGCUUGGUUUGGAUAAAUGGGUUUUCCAUGUGGCUUGAAUUAAUCUGAUGAAUAUGCAAUGUGCUUAUUUUUCAUCAACAUAUUUUACUGAUAGCGUGUGAACCCUUACUUAACCUGAUGACUAACUACCUUAUAUGUGUUGCAGGGAAACAAUGGGAAGCACUAAGGUUUACAAUCGAGGUUAGCACGUGCAUGGUCCGUUGUCUAAUAGCACAUUAUUGUGCAAUUGCAGGAACCAUUUUAAUAUUUUGGUUUUUAACAAUUUGGUCUUGCACAUGUAGGUCCUGCUGUCAGAGGUUUUGACCCACUGUUCGACCCUUUUUGCAUAUGGGGAAAUGAGUUGUCCAUGAAUAUCAAUCAAAUCAAGAAACUCAGAAAGAUUGUUAGGAUAAACAAAUUAGCGACAAAAAACAACAAGAUCUUUGUCCGCACAAUGAAGAAGACAUCAGUUCACUACAAGAUGGUACUAACUAUUAUACCUUGCCUUUUUUAUUCCUUUGCCCCACUUCCAAUAUAGAGAAGAUAUUUAUUCACAUCCUUGUUUUCAGGCCUUUUCAAAGCAGUUCACUAAUGAUUACCUCUCAACCCACCUCUAUGGUCAGGAGGCGAGGAAGGUUUUCAUACAACACCCACUGUUCAAUAUUGAAGUGUUCCUGAAGAGGACGAAGGACAGACGGUCAAUCAUCCACAGGCACUGGCCUAAAGUUGCAAAGACCUUCAACAUCAAUGAAGGCUCAAUACUCGCCUUCCGCUUCAGCAGUUUUCCAGAUGAGAUGCAUAUGUCUAUAUACCAUCUAUGAUGCCAAUUUUGAAAGGUUCUACAUGUUGCAUGUGAAACUUGGUGCUGGUGCAGUUGUGUAAUGGGGUAGCUGAGUGCUGAAGCUAUAUGAUGUUGCACUCUGAUGUAUUUCAAUUAUGAAAAUGAAAUAUAUUGUACGCUUAAUAUGAAAUGUCAAUUAGAUUAAUAAAUGGAUUAUUAAUAAUAGGAUAAUUAGCCUGCUAAUUUGGUUUUUCUAUUGCAAACAGUUAUUGAGAAAACACCGUGUGUGACGCUUUCAAUAACACAAACAAUUUCUAGGAAUAAACCGUGUUAGAUUAAUGAACAAUCACACACGACAUCCUCUUGAAAACUGUUUGCGUUAGGCUACCCGUCACAAAUGUUUACCACAUAAAAACUGUGUGUGAUGGACACCCUUUGCCACAUAGUUUCUUCUAUGCACCGUGUGUGAUGCAUUCAAUAACGCAAAUAAUAAAAUUGUUAAUACCGUGUGCAAUGGAAACGCUAUCACAAACGAUUUAACGGGGAAAAUUGUGUGUGAUGUACCUACAAACAGAAACGUUUUCCUUGGAGCGACUGUGUGGGAUGUAUAUACGAACGGAAACGUUUAGCGGGGACUGACUGUGUGGGAUUUACGACCGGAAAUGAUUUCGCUUGUAUAAUUGUAUUUUUUGAGCACUACUGUAUGUAUAACCAUAUUUGGUCGCUCGUCGGUCGCACACGACCUCAUUUUGCUGAGCGUGUGUGCCAGGAGGGCAUAUCCCCGAUGGUUUCUGGGUCGUGUGGGAAGGACCCCCUAUCGCCCACACUCACUUGGUGACGGUGCCAAAUGUUGCCGCGGAAAGGGGUUAAAAACCGUUUGUAUAGCACCUCGAUGUACUAGUGAGAGGAGAUCAUCUUCUGUAGCCCCACUGCUUUCAAAGGGAAAAGGAAAGACAGAGUGCCAGUGGUUGAAUCUGAGGUAAGGAGAAGUGAAAGGUUGCGGCAGUUGCAUAAAGGAUUUAUAAAGAAAGCAUGUGAAGAUAGUAUAUGUAUGGCUUGUUCUGCUAAGCCCCUGUCUGUAGCACUAAAGUCAUUAAAAUUUUAAAUUCUUCUUAUUGCAAGGUGGAUCCAAAGGUAUGCACAAAGGAGAACCUUCUACAAAAGAAAGCUAAGAGAGGAGGAAAGCAGCCAGCAUGGAAAGACUAAAGCUUCUGAGAGAGAGAGUGAGACAUGGACCUAGUAGGAGGCCUCCUUUUGGGUGAUCUCAGCAGUUUAUGUAAUGAAGCUUUGAAUCAGCCCACUUUUGUAAUUGAAGAAUUUUAUGCUUUGCUUCCAUCUAAAAGACUUUGGAUGCAAUGGGUAUGUAAAAGUGAUGACUAUCUGCUAUGCUUUAAGUGCAAGAGUGUUGCUACAAAUCUUUGCUGCUUUGACUGUUUGAAUUGCUAUGAAUAAAUCCUGGAACAUAUUGAGUUGGAAUGUUAGAGGUAUAAACUAAAGUGAUAAGUGGCUAGCUAUUUCAAACAAAAUAGAUGAAGCUCAUAGCUCAGUAAUAUGUUUGCAAGAAACAAAAAUAGAAUCUUUUGAUAGCUCCUAUAUUAAGAAUUUUUGCCCCAGAAGGAUCAAUAAAUUUGAUUUCUUGCCUUCUGUGGGAGCUUCUGGUGGAUUGCUCAUUGCUUGGAAUGAUAAUAUGUUUCAAGGAGAAUGCUUGUUCAAAAAUGAAUUUUCAAUCUCUAUGAGGUUCAUCUCAGUUCACACUGGUGAUUCUUGGAUAUUAACAAACCUUUAUGGGCCAUGUGAUAAUGAAGGAAGACACAACUUCUUGUCCUGGUUCAAAAAUAUUCAAAUGCCUUUAGAAAGAUAUUGGAUAAUUACUGGGGAUUUCAACUACAUCAGAUAUCCAUCCAAUAGAAACAUGGGAACUGGAGACAUAAAUAAUAUGAUGCAAUUCAAUGAAGCAAUCAGUCAACUUGCCCUAGUAGAAAUUCCUUUGGAAGGUAGAAGUUACACUUGGAGCAAUAUGCAGCAAGCCCCUCUAUAGGAAAAAAAUUGAUUGGGUGUUCACUUCUGAGAAUUGGUCUUCAAAUUAUCCCAAUACUAUGGCUAUUCCCCUUUCCAAACCUGUUUCAGAUCAUUGCCCUUAUGUCAUCUCAAUUGGUACUAGCAUACCAAAGGCGCAAGUUUUCAGAUUUGAAAAACUUUUGGCUUCAACAUCAUGAUUUUAAAGAGACAGUUCAAGCUAAUUGGCAACAACCUCUACUGGCUAGUGGCGGUGCUAAAUUAAUCACUGCUAAGUUUAAAAGGCUCAGAAAAUGCCUUAAUUUGGAGCAAGAGCAUUUCAAAUUUAGCUGGCAGCAUUCAGGCAACCAACAAUGUGAUUUUGAUGUUGGACCUUUUUGAGGAGCACAGAUUGCUCGCUGAUAGUGAACACAAUGGAAGGGAAAUGCUUAGAGAACAUUUGUUAAAACUUUUGUCUUUUUAGAGGAUCUAUUGGAGACAAAGAGCAACAAUUAGAUGGGUUAAAAUUGGAGAUGAAAACUCUAAGUUCUUCCAGGAAAAGGCCACCAUUAAAUAUAGACACAACUUCAUUCAAACUUUGCAAAAUGAUAAGGGGGUUGAACAUUUAGAACAUGAUGCAAAGGCUGCUAUUCUUUGGGCAUCUUUUAAAGAAAGACUAGGACAGACUAGUAAUAUUGCAGAUCCCUUAAAUCUGAUCAGCCUCAUCACUAGAAUGGAUGGUUUGCAGGAACUUGAUGCUCCUUUUACAAAAAAAGAAAUUGAUGAUGUCAUUAAACAUCUCCCUUCAGACAAAGUGCCAGGUCCAGAUGGAUUCAAUGGUGAUUUCAUUAAAGCAUAUUGGAGCAUAAUUGCUGAAGAUUUUUGCAAAAUAGUUGAUGAUUUUUAUCAUGGAACUAUAUUUCUUCAAAGUAUUAAUGCUUCCUUUAUCACUUUAAUUCCCAAGAAGGACAAUCCAGUCAGAGCCAAUGAUUUCAGACCAAUUUCUCUUCUCAACUGCACAAUCAAAAUUAUAACAAAGUUAUUGGCAAACAGGUUGCAGACAGUUAUUCUUAAUAUUGUGCAUACCAACCAAUAUGGGUUCAUUAAGAGGAGAACAAUUCAUGAUUAUCUUGGGUGGGAUUUUGAAUAUUUACAUCAAUGGCAGCAGUUUACGAAACCAAUUGUGUUGCUAAAACUGGAUUUUGAAAAGGCAUUUGAUCUGCUUAAUCAUAAAGCAAUUAUAGAAAUACUGAGAGUAAGAGGAUAUGGAGAUAGAUGGUUAAAUUGGAUCACAAUGUUGUUGUCCUCGGGAACAUCAUCCGUUUUGCUAAAUGGAGUGCCAGGCAAGUUCUUUCAUUGCAAACAAGGAGUCAGGCAAGGAGCCCCGUUUCUCCUCUCCUUUUUGUUCUUGCAGCUGAUCUUCUUCAGUCAAUGCUUAAUGAGGCGAUGCACCAGAAUUUGAUUCAGGCACCUAUUGAUAGUCAAGCUUGCCCAGAUUUUCCUGUUAUCCAAUAUGCUGAUGAUAACAUCUUAGUGUUUCCUGCUGAUGCCAGACAAUUGUCCCAAGUUAAAAAUCUCAUUUUGCACUACACUGCCUUUACUGGGCUCAAGGUCAACUAUGAAAAAUCCUUCAUGGUACCAAUCAAUGUGGCUGAAGCUCAUAUCAGCAACUUGCUCAAUAUCAUGGGAUGCCAAUAAGAAAAUUUCCCCUUCACCUAUUUGGGCCUCCCGCUGGGCACAACUAAACCAAAAAUUGAAGAUUUCAAUCCAAUGAUGCAAAGAAUUGAGAGAAGGCUUACUGGUUUCUCUACCAUGCUCUCUUAUGAUGGAAGAUUGUUACUUAUCAAAUAUGUAUUUGUAGCAUUACCAAUCUUCUUCAUGUAUACUUUGGCACUACGCAUGGGGGUUAUUGAACAGAUCAAUAAAUACUUGAGGAACUUUCUAUGGAGGAAAUUUGGUAUGGAGGACAGAGGGACAGCCCUGAUUGCCUGGUCCAAAGUUUGUCAACCCAAAAAACAGGGAGGUCUUGGCAUACUAGAUAUAGCUCUUCAUAAUAAGGCCCUACUUAUGAAGAAUCUCAUCAAGUUUCUCAACAGAGAAAAUAUACCUUGGAUCAAUCUUGUCUGGGAGAAAUAUUAUCAUACAGAAUCACCAAGAGGAAAAGCGGAAGGGUCAUUCUGGUGGAAAUCUCAUAUUGCACUUUUAGACAGAUUUAAGCAAAUUAGCAAAUGCACAAUAGGAUGUGGCCAAGCUGUGUUGUUCUGGAAGGACAAAUGGCAUGACCAGGCUCUGCAAAUUACACUUCCACAUCUUCAUUCUUUUGCAGUAAAUGAGGAGCAAACAGUGCAAGAUUUUUUUGAUGAGCAUGAUUGGACUGGGCACUUUCAUCUGCCCUUAUCCAUGGAAGAGCAAUUCAAUCAGUUACAAGAUCUUGUUCCCAAUCUAUAUCAACACAAAAAGGAUAACUGGAGCAUUAUUGGGGCUGUUGGUAAGCCCACAACAAUUCACAUAUACAAUCAGAUGCUGGAGCACAAGGAAGAACACCCCAUUUUCAACAUCAUUUGGAGUAGCUCUAGUAGACUUAAACAUAAAUUCUUCUUCUAGUUAGUUGCACAUUGUAGAAUCAACACCAGGACUCUUACUCAGAAAAGGCAUGCACCUUGAUGACAUUUUCUACCCAAACUGUAAUCAACAGGAAGAGGUGACCAUCAUGCACUUACUUUGGGACUGUAACUUUGCUCAAGAGUGUUGGAACUCUCUGAUACCCAACAGGCAGCGAGGUACAUCAGUUUAUGAGGACACCACCCUGGCAAUAAGUCACUUACCAAAGCAGUUUGCAGUAGAGAUCAUCAUACCGGGAUGCUGGAACAUAUGGAUUCAGAGAAAUGGAAAAGUAUUCAGGUCAAUCCAGCAGUCUGUCCAAUCCUAGAGAUUUCACCUUAAGCAAGAUUUAAAGCUUCUCAGACACAAGAUUAAGCAUAAGUUUGAACUUAGAUUCACACAGUGGAUGGACCAUAACUUGUAAUGAUGAACUCCAUACCUAGAGUAGGCAUUGGCUAAUCCCUAGCCAAUCUUUUACCCCUUGGGGCUUGUACAUUAUUUAUUUUAUUAAUAUAUUUACCGUAGAACAUUUUAGAACAUUUGUUCUAUGGUGUUGGGUUCAAAAAAACAUUCUGUCACCCUUUCCCCGGUGCUUCUGAUUGUGACUAAUAGUACGAGCAUCUUUGGUCCUUCUCCUAAAACCGAGCUCUUCAAAAGAUCUCCCAAAACUGAACUCCUCAAAUUUAAGGAGUUAGAAAGUGUGCACGUCUAGCCCUUCACCUAAAAUUGAACUCACUAUAGUUUUUCUUUUACUAAUUUCUUCCAUCUUUUUUGCAUGCAAACUCCAUUACAACUACAUAUGCACGACAUAUCAUUGAGAACAUUGAUAUGUCUAAUGCAUUGCUUCAACAUUAUUUCAAAUUUAACUAUUUAAAUUCAAACACACCAUACAAUCCAAAUAAAGUAAUAAUUCGAAUAAAUAAAACAUGAUAAAAGUGCAGGAAUCAACCGUCAUGAAGUGCCCACAAGUGCUCAACAAGAUCAUUGUAGAGUUGAUGGUGAGUUUAUGGGUUCUCUAUCAUUCAAUGGGCUGCAAGAAACCUCUAGAUUAUGUUUGGUUGAUGCUUCGGUUCCACAAUUUCACCAUUGUAGAGGUAGCAAAAGUCCUCUGGCUCUCCUCUCCCAUACUCGAUGAUCAUGAUGUGCGAGAUAUUGCAUGUUUUCACGGUCUGUUGUAUUUGUGGGUUCCAAUACUCCACAGAUCAAUGAACAAUCAAAAGCGAGCUUGAAGCACACUAAGGCUCUCUCAAUGUACGCCCCGGGACACUAUAUAUACUGAUCUAGCACCUCGUUAUCAAAUGCAUAGUAUCGAUCCGAGGAUGCCCACCAAACACAGCGUGCACACCAUAUCCAUACAUGCAACAUGCGCACUAUGUGGAUGGAAAGACAAGUAUCAUAAAAAACACUAAAAGAACCGCAACAAUAUCUAUACAAUGACUGCAAGGAGUCAAAUUUAACAAAUGAUUACAUACGAGAGUCUUUCGACCAAGUCGUAGCUCUCACAACAUAAGCGACAAAUAAACCUUAGACACCUAAAUUUAACAAAUACUUUAAGAAGGCUUAAAGAAAAGCAAAUGAAAUCUAUAACCCUUCCAGAAGGACUGUAUGGGAUAACCAUAUCUAACGCCUUCCUUCACCACUAGAGAUCACCUGUUCCAAAUGCUACCAUCUGAUCUGCAGCAUCCGGAUAAAAAGAAUAAAUAAAGCAAGAUGAGUACUCAACUAUACUCGCAAGACAUACAUAAAAUCUAUGCUAAGUAUGCAUCAUUCUCAAAGAAGGGGUAUGUGGUGAGCGGUAGCAAGCACUAGUAUCCUAUAGAGGCAUGCUAUAAGAUAAUAAAGCAUAUAUGCAUAUGCAUCAUAUGUUCUAGCCACCACAUCAUAACACUACAUUGCACCCCCCUCGCAUCUCCCACGAGGAAGGAUCCCCAAAGACACUCACACCAAAUAUGGUUAUUAUUAGUUGAAGCUACUAUGAUCAGGUACACAAUCUUCAAGUCAUCCAUAACCGCGGACAGGGCUAUUCGAAUAGUAACCCUGCAGGGUGUACCAAUUUACCCUAACACGUGCCUAAUGUUCUUGAUGCCGGCCAAUAGGACGCUCGGAGUGUGCCGACAGAGAGAGUGUGGCCAUAUUACUUCCCCUAUGUUGCAAACAAGUUCAAGGAACCACCCAACUUAGUCGUACCUAAAUCAUGAGUUUGGCCAAGUUUUUCGAAACAGACCAAACAGUUGCAUGCACGACUAAGGUGGCUAUAGACCACAUGAUAACCACUCAGCAAAAGUGAUGUGUCCACACCAUCUAAAUGUAAGAUGUUUUGACACUUCAAUUUAAACUGCCAAAAUAUCUUAUAUUUAGAAACGACAGUAGUACAAUGCAACACGCCGCAUCGUUUACCUGGUUGCACACCAACACACACUACAAAUAAAAAGCCUGAGUAUGGGACCCCUGGGUACUCCUGGCCAUGGGCCGCCUGGCCCGAACAGCCCGGCCCGAAAAAGCCCGGCCCGACGCUGCUCUCGGGCCGGGCCUGGGCCUAGGUUUUGAGCCCGAAGACUAGGUCGGGCCGGGCCUGGGCCUGCUGUUUAUGCUAUUUACUGAAGAGGCCUGGCCCGAGGCCCGAGGCCCGACGUGUUUUUUGCUGUGAUGGGCCGGGCUCGGGCCUGAGUUUUCUGCCUCGGGCUUGGUCAGGCCCGGCCCGAAGCCCGGCCCGGCCCGGAGGAUGGCCAGGUCUACCCCUGGGCAUGUCUGAGGUAAUGGUACUAGGCCGAGAGGGGUCCCAUACCCCCCAACAGGGGGUUGAGUACGCUCAAUCUUGGAUCAAGAUAACAAGAACUUGGAUGCUAGUGUCAGCUCAAGUGGAACAAAAUCCUUUCUUACAUAUUAACAUAAUUAUGUUGGGAUGACAAUUUCAUUUAGCAAGCAAGGCAAAUCCGCCAUGUUUAGUUUUUUGUUAGGAUUUGCCAUUCUUAAUAAAGAAAAUUGACGUCCUUGUGACAACAUAAUUUGUACUCUAACAUUUUCUAUUACAGUGAGUUAUAAAAAAAACGUUUUCUUGCCAUGCUUAAAAAUUCUGACGUUCGCCGAUUAUCAAAGUCCAUUAGUUAUGGUCCAUAGCUAUCGAUUUGAAUCGACGGUGGCCUAUUGCGACCCUGACCAUACAUAUGAUUGGCCAGGCUUUCUAGACAAUUAACAUACAGUUUUGUUAAAGCACAUUUAGAUAUGCAACAAGUAUUGCACAUCUAAAUCCUAUGUCAUUAAUCUUACAUGAAGAUAUGUGUGGAUAUUUUCUUUUCCUUUUUUUUUGUUUAUAUUUGAUUGAAUCACUUAGAUGUGCUAUAGACAGACCACAUAAGCUAAUUUGUGACCAAUAAAUGCAUACCGGUACAUCUCAACAAAAUUCUAGAUAAACGCUGGCUCCUGCGAAACGCCAUCAAUGGAUCUCAUGCUAAACUGGAAUCGUAUAGAGCUCAUUGAUAUAUCCACGAUGGUACAAAGGUUAAUUGAAACAACGACUCAUGCGAGUCUUGUUCAAAUGAUCAAGCCGUAUCAAUAGAGUUUUCCAUGUGAAAUAUACUAUUUCCCCCAGCAGCAGUAGCUAAGUAGUAGUAGUAGCUAACACUGGCACUAAUUGAAUAGCAAGGCAAAUCACCGAGCAGAAGCCCACAUGUAAAAAGCAUAUGAU
rnacentral:lncRNA from 1 species